rnacentral:lncRNA from 1 species
ACCGAUCCGGGUGGGCUGGGUUCGAGGGGGGUAGGGGGUUUGUCCGUUUGAAUUUUUUGGGGUUGGAACCGGACCGGACCGGCCUGGUCUGUGUAUACAGUACCUUGAACCGGUAGGCCCAGCCCUGUUCAACGGUAAAUAUACCAUAAUAUACCAUGAAUAUACUAUAAAUAUACCAUGAAUAUACUAAAAAUAUACCAUGAAUAUACUAUAAAUAUACCGUAAAUAUACCAUUAAUAUACCAAUUAAUGGUAUGCUUAUAAAAACAGCAUUAUCGAUUAAUGCUUGCACUUGAUCGAGAAAUCUGUCUCAUUCAAGAGUGAACAAUUUAAAAUUCCAAAAUAUGAGGAGCAGCACAUGGGGUUGGCAACCAACACAACUUUUGCAUUGUUAAUGAAUAUAAUCAGCAUGCUAAUCUUGAAAUCAAUGCACAUAUUGACUGAUUUAGAACUCCCNNNNNNNNNNNNNNNNNNNNNNNNNNNNNNNNNNNNNNNNNNNNNNNUGAAUAUAAUCAGCAUGCUAAUCUUGAAAUCAAUGCACAUAUUGGCAGAUUUAGAACUCCCAAGUGCUGCUCAGGAAAAGUCCAAACGCAUGCCUUGAGACAUGGCAUGGUCUGCAGGUCCUCGCUUCCUGUCCCUAAGAUGUUUUGUAAGAUUCUAAGACAAUUUAUGUUAUUGUUCGUGGUAACACCUGAAUUGCGUAAUCAAGUGCUCAUUUUUCCCAUCUUACUUGCAUUCAUUCAAUUAUUACAAAGUAUUAAUAUAACUUCAUAGUUGUACUAUACAUAAUUCCAAAAAAAAAUAAAAAUAUACGAAACCCGGCCUGGCCCGGCCCGCUUCAACCCAUAACCCGUACGGUUCAAUUUUAACCCGAACUAACCCAGCCCAUUACCAACCCGGUACUGUUCGAACCAGCCCGGCCCGGCCCAGAACCCGGACGGGUCAAAGAAUUUUUUACCUGAACCGGCCCAGUUGGCCCGUUAGACAGGUUUAGCAUCAACAACAGCGAAAUCACAGCGCAUGGUAGUCCCAGCUACCAAAACUUCCAAAAUUACACUAACAUUAUUCCUUUAUCGCCAAGGAUAUGUAGGCAACCUUGAAGCGAGGUUCGGUCAGAAAAUUUUCAAAAUGCUUCACACGGAGUAUUGAGUCGGACGAAAAUUGCUCAUGUUUGCUUACUUGUCUUUCCACGAAAACUCUUCGUGUUUCCGCCCAAAGAGGGGCAGCGGUGAGCAUAUGAUUUUUACCCUGUUGAGACGUCUCCUACAGGACUCUCAAGUUUAGGAUUUUUUCUUUUAAAUAUUUAUUUUUAGGAUUUAAUUGCGCGUGUCAAUGUGAUUUCAUAAAUACAUGCAUAAAAUCAUAAAAUAUACAAAAUUGCAUAAGCGUUUAGGAUUUAAUUUCAUAUUUUUCUAGAUUAACUGGUAAUUAGGUUUAUUUUUGAAGAUACAAAAAUCGCGAAAAAAAAUUAAGUGGCAUUUCCGGCAUUUUAUUUGUUUUGCAUUUUUGUAUUUAAUUUUCAUUUGUGCCAUUUUAUUUAUUUUUGCACAAUAGUUAUUUAUUAGGUUAUUUAGCUAAACUAGAAUUUAUAAAAUGCAAUUAGAAUAUAAAGAAAUAAUAAAUAAGAAAAAACAAAGCAAAAAAAGGUUUAUCUAAUAAACCACCUAGGCUGGCCAUAAUUGGACCUGACCUGGGUAGCCCAAGUCUUUUUAAUGCGGUAAAAAUGCUAGAUGCCCAGCCCAAUAAAAUUGGUCUUCGACCCAGCUCAUCAGGACUGCCCCAAAAAGAUACCGUUUUGGGGGCAACUCAUCACAACUGUUGAUCACGAGGCCAUCCAACGGUCCUGAAACUACCCAAAAGUCACAUAUAUAUUUCCAAACCCCUUUGUACACUCAGAGACCAACGGACCUUCUUCCUUGUACAUGUAACGCCGGUGUAACACCACCCCAGCACCACCAUAAGACCACUGUUGACCACCCAGCAACCACCCUAAGGCCGCCGCUGGAAAUCGCCUCACGGAGGCGACCGAUCACCAAACAGCCUCAAAUUUACACCACCGGACCACCUCGACCCCUUUAUUCCCUUCCCGUGGUCAAUUUCCUUCGAACAAGCGCCAAACUCUUCGAAUAUUCGAAAGAAGACUCGCCGGCACCAACGCCUCUAGCGACCCAAUCCCAAACCAACCCAGAAUAACACCCCUCAACCACAUCUCCUCCCUCUUUCCAACCGUCCAAACCAUAUCCUUCAAAUCCUAAUGGAUUGGCUCGAAUAUCAAAUCAAAAUUAACCCUAAGUACUGAAACUCACCGGAAACCGGUCAAAUCGGCCUAAGAUGACCCUCCUCUGUUCCUAUCCCCAACCCUACCACCCACAACCCUCAACCACAACUGACUACAAGGGAAAAACAAAUUUGAGACCUCACCUGGUCUCAAAGUCAAUGAACCCCCCCUCUGAACCUUUCUUCCCUCUUCAAUACUCAAGGCGAAAGCCUUAGAAGAGUAAAAGACUCUCAAAAAGGGGUCAGGGAAUCAUGGAACUGGAAGAGUUCCAAGUCAAGAACUGCAUGCACAAAAGCUAAGUGUCCUAUGCUCUAAUUACUAUCAAUGAUUGUACAUAUUUCUUAUUAAUUGCUUUGUUUCUUUAAAAUUUUACUUGUUUUUUAUGAUCUCAUCCUGAAGUGUUUUGAGCAGUCAUCUUUGACUGCUAUAUUCUUUUGGUUCCCUUUGGUGUCACUGGCUUGAGUUCAUUUGUCCUCUACGAUCUUCUGCGAAGUCUGAUAUCAUCCUUGUCUCUUGACUCUUCAUUGGUUUCACCUCUGAGAUUCUGAAUGGUUUGUUAAAUGCUUAUCUUCGUUGAUCCUAUUUGUUUUGAGUAGGUGUCUCCUUUUAGGUUCUCAUACCUGUCUUAGUUCUUUUCUAGUAAUUUUGAUCUUCUGUAUUUGCAUGUGUUAGGAAAACUUUCUUUUCUGAAUGUUUUAACUGAUGAUAUCAGCCUUGUUUUAAUUUCUUGGUUUUUAUUCAUGCAUAUCCUGAGUAUUUAAUCUCUGUUACUCAUUACUUGUCUUUAGUUCUCUACUAAGUGUUGCAAUUUUGUCAUUUUUAUAAGUCCUGCAUAGUUGAUUGGGAUUCGUUUUUUGAUUGUUUUGGUUCAUUUUGACAUAUUAUAAACAUGCAUGCCCACCUAUCAGGUGUUUAGUUUUCAUGAAUAUUCAUAUAAUCCUGAAAACUGUGAUAAUUUAGUUUCAUCCCUUGUUACUGAAUAGUGUAAAAUUCAUAUUCAAGGUGCUUUCUUGAAUCCAUGAGAUGCAUUGAUCAAUUCUUAAACUCUUUGGGUGUCUACUUCAACAUAAUUGAGUCUGUAGUUAAGACUUUGAAUUUGGCCCAUAACCUGAAUGCAACUAACUAGGGUCAUAUUUGACCAAACAAAUGGAAACCAAGGCUAAAACCCUUAGGUCAGUAAUUAGGAAAAAUGACAUGGGUAUUAAGGGUAUUUGAAUAUAAAGAAUCUUGUAACAAACUCCUAGAACAUUCUAGUGAGGGGUUUAAGUAUAAUUUCUGCCUCAAACUUGAGGCACAAGUCAGAAAACUAAGGACUAUUUAGGUAAAACUGAAAAAUGGGUAAGGGACUAAAAGGAAAACAAUGAAAUUGGUGUUGACCUAAGGCUUCAACCAAGGACUAAAAAGGAAAACAAAGAAUUGGUGUUGCCCUAAGGCUUCAAUUAUAAAAGAAAGCAAUCUGAACAUUUAAGGGGCUGGAUUUUAGAUUUUCGAGCAGAUUUUUUCUUUAAAGCUCUUAGUGAAUUAGAAUAUUAUAAUACAUAUUAGCCUCUUAUACAUUCUUCAGAAAUCCUUUGGUGUUGUUCUCUUCCGAUUGAUAUUGAGCUGCUUUAGAGAUUUAUUGUUACGAUUUGCCCUCUCAAACUUCCUGAGUUUUUUCUGGGAUUUUAUUGGUUGGUUGGCUGCUGUUUUUGGCUUGCUUUUAAAAAUCUGAGAAGCUAUAAUGCCUAUGUACAUUCGAGAUUGUGGCUGAUAAGGAGGAAAUAAUACUUUUGCUUCAUUCCCACAUUAUGACUGUGUUUACUUUAUUUAGUAGAAUUUUUGGUGUUGUAAUGAACAUGAAUAUGUAUUAAUUAUGGACUGUAUCAGGACUUUGUUUUUAAUAUUUGUUUAAGUUCCAACAGAUUUAGCAAUAGUCGAUCCGAAGUUAGCUUAGUGCUUGCAAUUUGAGUUAUAUUAGGAAUUCGACAACUGAACAUACGUAUACUCUAAAUGAUGAGUAUUUCAUAUUGUUUCUCUAAAUAUUAAGAUUGAAUUCCGAUGCGAAAUCCUUCUUAGCAUCUUCCUUAUUAAAAUGUUUUUAGUAUAUUUUAUAAUGAUCAUGUGAUAGUUUUAAUAACUGUGGUACAAUUGAAAAAGGGCCUGCUGAUAUUUCCUAUAAUGGACUCAUUGGUCCAACGUUUCUGGGCCCAAUUGGAAGGCCCAAUAGCUUUCAGUUGUGGUAUGGAAAAACAUAUUCCUGGGCUGGCUAAAAAUGAAGCCCAAUGCAUAUAAUCAGCCAUGAAUGAGGCUGAAAAUGCAAGUACUGAAUUUCUCCAAAUGUAUUACCCAUGUAUAAAUAAUUAGGACAUUUUAGAUACAAGCAUGAUAGAAAACUUAGUGUGCUUUAUAUUGCCCUUAUAAAAAUAAAGUGAGCCACGUUAAUCUAAUCAAACACCAUGCGAGGCUCCUUAACUUAAUAAAAUUUUGAAAAUUGGAAGUGUUGUUUAGCGAAUUUCACGGCCUUUCACGAAAUUCUAAAAACGUAGUCGCUAUAGACGCGAAUUUAUUAACAAAAAAUAUCUUCCUAAACUCGGGUGUGCAUUUAUAUGACCCAAAUCCAAGUCUCAACGAUGUUAAAACGUGUUGAAAACCCAGGUGCAUUUAUGUGACAUGGUUCGAGGCAUGUUUUAAUAACGUUACAAAUAUCUCUAAGACGAAUAAAGCGGUUAAUAAUUUAAAAUUUCACCAUAGGAUGAACAUGUACAAAAAUCAGAUUAUUUUAGCCACUUAUAAUGGUUUAAGUGACCGUGCUAGAACCACGGGAUCCGAGGGUGCCUAACACCUUCCCUCGGGUCAACUAAAAUUUGCGUCGUAGGAUAAACAUGUACAAAAAUCAGGAAAUUAGCCAUUUAUAAUAGUUUAAGCGACCAUGCUAGAACCACGGGAUCCGAGAGUACGUAACACCUUCCCUCAGGUUAACAGAAUUCCUUACUCAGAAUUUCUUGUUCGCACACUCCAUUUGGACAGUCGAAAAUUUCCUCGAUUUGGGAUUCCAAAUAAAUCGGUGACUUGGGACACCAAAAGCCAAGCCUAUCUCAAGUGAUGACUCUAAUAAAUAAAUAAUCACAUUCCGAAUAAUGUCACUUUAAUUGGAAAAAACUCCAUUAUACGUUUUAUCCUUCGGGGUAUCCGUGUAAAAAGGAGGUGUGACACCCACCUGGAGAAAUAAGGGAAUUCAGUUCAAGUAUUGGUAGUAGGUGCCCCCACCUGGAGAAACAAGGGAAUUCAGUUAAAGUAUUGGCAGCAGGCGUCCACUUGGAUAAACAAGGGAAUUCUGUUCAAGUAUUAGCAACAGGUGCCCCACCUGGAGAAACAAGGGAAUUCAGUUCAAGUAUUGGCAGCAUGCUCCCACCUGGAGAACAAGAGAAGUCAUUUCAAAACUCAAUUCAAGAUACAAGUAGCAGAAGCGCGUGGCAAGAAUGCGAGUCGAUAGUCCGAGAUGACCAACAAAAGUAUGUCUCAAUCCAAAAAGAAAAAGAGAAAAGAAAAAAAGUGAAUCCAAAUGCAGAAGCAGAUGAAAGAUGUGAACAACUCCAGACAUGGUUGAAGCCACAAACAUUACAUGUUCGAUCUUGAUCCGAAAAUCUGAAGAAGAAUGAACUAGCACCUGCAGCUAGCAAGCGUCAAGGUUCAAAUCUAAAGACUGCAUGAAGAACCAUUCAAGACUAAAGAUCAAGCUUCAGAAGACUUAUAGAUAGGAAUUUUGUAACUCAUAGUUUACAGGCUUAGUUAGUCUUUUUCAUUUUUGAUUUUGAUGUAAUACCAAGACCGCAGACCAGAACAUCGAUGGAAUGGCACCUCGACCGGCUCUCCACCUUAGUAUACUCCACCACUCUUCCUAAUUUUGAACUACACGUGACCUGAUUCCUUUAUAGCCAAGGAUAUGUAGGCAGCUCAGAUACCAGGGCUCGGCCAUAUUCUCCUUUACCUUAGUUUUUAGUCUCUCUAAAGGGUGGGUUCAAAAAACAUGUCUCGUCGUUCUUUAUUUGAAAACUCUUUACGUUUUCAGUCUAAGAGAGGCAACUGUACACAUGUGACCCUCCCCAAGGUAUAUAUUUUAGCUUAAAUAUUUAUUUUAGGCCUAAUAUUGCUAUUUCAAUUAGUUUUGACUCUUUUACUUUAUUUUAUAAAAAAAUAAAAAUUAUAAAAAUAUUUCUUCUUUUUAGUUGCUUUAGUUUAUAUACCUUUCAUAAAACUAAAAUAAAAUACAAAAAAGUAGUACCUUGUUUUUAUUCUAAUAUGGUAUUUGAAAAUACAAAAAAAUAGGUUUGUGUUAACGGUUAGUUUUAUUUUAAUAGUUAUUUUACUUAAGUAGGAUUAAUUAGUAAAUAAGGUCCUAUUUUUAGUCUCGUUCAUAAAGAAAGAAUAAAAGUUGGGCUCAAACAACCUAUUUUUAGGCCUAAUUGUCAUACCUAGCUCAUAGUAACCCAAUCCCAAUAUCCCUAAAACCUUAGACUUAGACAAUAAAAAGAACCCUAGACCCUAGACCUAACGCCUAAGGAUCAACAACUAUUUAUUUUUCGACCUGAAGAACACCAUACACAAGAGAAUUUUCAGCUCUCUUUUCCUUGACUGCAAACUUAACAAAAAACCUAAGGGGUUCUUUUUCUUUAUGAAGAGCCUUGAUCUUAAAAAAAGGCCUAGAAACCCAUAUCUUCUUCUUUAUAGGGAUAUUAGAAAAACCUAGAACCUUAAGACCAAAAAGAACCAUCAGACGCCAGUCCACCUUUCUCCACUGGCUGCUCACACUAGAUAGCCCCACCAGCCCUCAAUGUCGUCCCAUCUCCACGCCGAGUAACCAACGACCACAGCUUCCUGACCCCAAUUCCAGCCGCCUUCAACUUGCCGGCGACCAAAGAAGCUUCAUGGCUUCCAUCCUCGCCGAGUAAUUAGGAGUUUUUAAAAUACAAUUAGGAAUUAAUUAAUAAAAAAGAUAAGAAAUAAAGAAACAAUACAAAACUGCUUCAGCUUUGUCAAAAAAUGUCAUCAACGCCACGUGCACGGUGAUUUGAUUCAUGCACCACCAAAUGAACUGCAUCCUAUGUCAACACCCUAGCGAUUUGCCGCCUAGGGUAUGGACGUCAUUGGGCCAAUCGAGCCAAAAUCCCCAAAUGGGCGCAGAUCAUAUUAGUCGCCAUUGAUUACUUCACAAAAUGGGUUGAGGCCAUCACCCUCAAGUCUGUUACCAAGAAACAUUAUAGACAAUGCAGCUAAUCUAAACAGUCAGCUGAUGGGAGAGAUAUGUGAACAAUUCAAGAUAACACAUAGAAACUCCACUCCCUACCGGCCCAAAGCUAAUGGUGUUGUCGAAGCAGCCAACAAGAACAUCAAGAAGAUCUUGAGGAAAAUGAUUCGAAGCUCGAGGCAAUGGCAUGAAAAGCUUCCUUUCGCACUGAUGGGACAUUGCACCACUGUACAUACAUCGGUAGGAGCAACCCCCUAUUUGCUGGUCUAUCGAACUGAGGUUGUCAUACCCGCGGAGGUGGAAAUCUCUUCGCUCCGAGUGAUUGUCGAAGAAAAAUUGAAGAUAGUGAAUGGGUCAAAACCCGGUUGGAGCAGCUGGAAUUACUUGAUGAAAAACUAAUGGCCGCGGUAUGCCAUGGGUAGCUGUACCAACAAAGAACGGCUCGUGCUUACAACAAGAAAGUGCGCCCCCGAAAUUUCGAAGUCGGGUAGCUAGUUUUGAGACGGAUACUUCCCCAUCAUCAGGAAGCCAAAGGAAAAUUCGCUCCAAAUUGGAAAGGUCCAUAUAUUAUCAGAAAGAUAUUGCCUAAAGGAGCAUUGUACCUAGGCGACAUUUGAACCCCCUACAGCAAUGACCCCGUUUGGAUUGAAAUGAGGAAGACUUUGCUUUUACGCUGCCCCCACCCUCUUUGUAGCCCGGAGAUGCUGUUCAAAAAAAUGAUGAUGAAAAGAAAUGAAAAAAAAAGAGAAAAAAAAAGAAUACAAACAAAAUUAGUUUAGGACCAAAGUUUCUUGAACUACGUCUAACUUGAUUCGAAAAGGUUACGUAGGCAGCCUCUCCCUGAUGUUCAAUCAUAUCAAAAUAAAAACCUCAUUCACCCAAAAAAUCAAAACUGGGGCAGAAAUGUAUUGGUUCGGUUACAAAUCUGUCUGAAUGGUUAUAAAGUUAUAGAUCCCCGGGGAGGAAAAAAUACCAUUGUUGGGGUUCGGCACCAAUCAAAUUUUGAGAGAAAUAAAAUGAUAGAGUCUUAUCGGUAAAAACAUUCGGGCACCAUAAAGCGACGGCGAGCACAGAAAAACAACUUGAGAGAGUUCGUUUAGCAAAAACUCGCAAAGAACACUAUCGGGCAACGAGAGAAUAGAAAUGAGAGAGGCUGAUGGGUGAAAACCCGAAAAGGGUCGCGUCGGUUGAAAAGAGGAAAUGCUGCCCGGGCCUGAAUAAAUUUAUUUGGUUUUGGAAAAAUUUGAAGUCAGAAAGCAGAAAUGGAUUUGGGUCGGGUAUCUAGUCCAAGAAGCAUGUCGUUGCCAUUUAAAGCCGACUUAUAUUUCCAGAUAAGUUUGGUUUUUGAAAAGUUGAAGUCAGAAAGCAGAAAUGGAUCUGGGCCGGGUAUCCAGACCAAGAAGCAUGUCAUUGCCAUUUAAAGGCGACUUAUAUUUCCAUAUAAGUUCCCGCUUUUCCCUCAAAAGAACAUACCUCUCUAAAUUCAUGCUUCGUUCCUUUCCACUUUAAUCCUAAUGUCCUGACCAUUCCUUAAGAAAGGUAGCAGGGCCGGCCUCGCGCGUUUCUCCUGGCAAGAACAAAGAGAAUGCCCGACAUCGUCAAACGUGCUUAGCCAAUCCCGGUUGAUCAUGACGGUUGAUGCCUCAAAAGCAGGAAAUAAAUGAAAGGAAAUUCAAAGUCAAAUGUCCAUGAAGGUGAAACAAAAUCUUAGGGUUUUAAGCCAAACAGGAUGUCCCGAAAUAAACCCAAAAUCAGAAUUGGGAAAAAACUCACAACCCAAGGCCUGGGAAACAAAAACAAAGGGAGUUGAUAUCAAGCGUGACAAGGCCGCAAAACCAAUCACUGUUCAAACUAACAGUUUUGUUUUGUUUCUGAACUAAAAUAGACGCAGGUGCAACCUAGAAAAGCGGAAGGAACAUACGGCAAAAACAACCAAAGGAUAGGCACAAGGACCAAAGAUGGUGUUGCGUCAAUGACAAAAGGGAAGUUUUCUUUUCAUUUUCCUGCAAAUUCGUAAAUAAGCAUGAUAGCACGGGAUNNNNNNNNNNNNNNNNNNNNNNNNNNNNNNNNNNNNNNNNNNNNNNNNNNNNNNNNNNNNNNNNNNNNNNNNNNNNNNNNNNNNNGACCAAAGGGAAGUUUUCUUUUCAUUUCCCUGCAAACUCGUAAAUAAGUAUGAUUGCACGGGAUUCAAAUCCCUAGUUUCCCUUGUGCAUCUUGUGGAUUUACUACGCAUGACCCAAGGAUUGCAUUCCACCUCCUCCAGCAUAAACCAAGAAGUCUCCUUCCUUCACAUCCCGGCAUAACCCGGAAGUUCCUCUCCACAUCCCCAGCAUAACCUGAGGAUUCCUUCCCUACACUGUCUACUCAACGUGGUCUAAAAGUUUGACGCUACCCUAUCCUUAACAUAACUUAUGGGUUUCUCCUUCCCCUCCACCCUCAGCAUAGUUAAAAGAUCUCUUCGGUCCUUCACUUCGUGGAUUCCCCUAGCAUGUCCCCAGCAUAACCUGAGGGUUCCUUCCGUGCACUUUCUACUCCCCGGCGUAGUCUAAAGAUUGACGCUACCCUAGCAUAACCUAGGAUUUUAUAUUCAUCCCAGCAUAACCCGUGGAUUUUCCCUAGCAUAACCUAGGAUUCUUCAUUCAAUCCCGGCAUAACCUGCGAAUAUCCCUAGCAUAACCUAGGAUUUUUCAUUCAUCCGGCAUAACUCGUGGAUUUCCCUAGCAUAACCUAUGAUUUUUUCAUUCAUCCUGGCAUAACCCGUGGAAUCCCCUAGAAUAAUCCAGGAUCUCCUCUAAAUCCCAGCAUAACCCGUGGAUUUUCCCUAGUAUAACCUAGGAUUUUUCAUUCAAUCCCGUCAUAACCCGCGGAUCUCCCUAGCAUAACCUAGGAUUUUUCAUUCAUCCCGGCAUAACCCAUGGAUUUCCCUAGCAUAACCUAGGAUUUUUUCAUACAUCCCGGCAUAACUCGCGGAUUCCUCUAGCAUAACUUUGGAUCUACUUCCAAUCCCGGUAUAACCCGCGGAUCUCCCUAGCAUAACCUAGGAUUUUUCAUUCAUCCCGGCAUAACCCGUUGAUUUCCCGAGCAUAACCUAUGAGUUUUCAUUCAUCUAGGCAUAACCCGCGGAUUCUCCAAGCAUAACCCCGGAUAUCCUUUCAUCCCGGCAUAACCCCGCAGAUCUCCCUAGCAUAAUACCUGUAAUCACAACAUCUGAAGCAAUAACAUCGGUCUGCCUGAAAUAGCAUAGAAUUGGGCCUGACCUCCCCUUGAUCGACCUCCCCAUCUAGGGCAUCCCCUGGCUGACUGACCUCUACCCCUAGAUGGCUGCGCGGGUAGUAGUGAAGCAACUGGCACUGAAGUCGAUGACUGACCCCUCUGCUGGGAUGAACUAGCAGCACGAUGAGGACACUGCCUCCAAAUGUGGCCCACCUUGCCACACUCAUAACAACUCCCAGGUGCUGGAGAAGGGGACUGAAGGGAGCCCCUUGUACCAAAGUGACUAGCAGAUGCGCCUGACACAGAAGAACCUUGAAUUGACGGAGCACGGGAAGAACUCUGAGCAGGAAAGACACUAAGUGAUGAAUAGCCCUACUAAGAUACAUGAUAACUAUGACCUAAAAAUGACCAGGGAUAACCUUAGCAAGCGGACCGAGUAGGCCUGAAUGAAGGACCUCUGUUGUACUGAAACUAGCCCCUCGAAGGAGCACAAUAAUGGCCAGAUCCUCGAAGCCUACUGGCCUCCCUCUCCUCUCGCUCAUAAAGACAAGAAGACUCAAUCUCUCCGGCAAUAUCCACAACCUCCUCGAAUGUAGCACCAUAUACCCUCUCCUUGGUCAUAAGAAUACGGAGCAAAUAAGUAAGACUAUCAACAAACCUCCUGAUCCUCUCUCAAUCUGUUAGAACCAACCAUAUGGAAUGAUAAUCCAACUCAAAAAAUUCUCAACUUAUACUGCGACACGGUCAUCUCCCCUGAUGUAACCACUCAAACUGCAUGUACAACUCCUCCCUGGGAGAUUACGGCACAUACUUCUCCAGAAAGAGAAUGGAGAACUGCUGCCAGGUAAGGGGUGCUGCACCAACAGGCCUAUGCCUCUCAAAAUCCUCCCACCAAUUGAAAGCAGGUCCUGAAAACUGAUAAGUAGUAAAAACGACGCGUUGGUCUCUAGAAUACCGGCAGUAUGAAGCAUCCUCCGACACUUGUCCAGAAAGUCCUGGGCAUCCUUGCUCUCCACACCACUGAAUAACGGAGGUUGAAACCAACCAAAUCUCUCCAACAUACGUUGCUUAUCCUCUUGCAUAACAUAUACUACAUAGUCCUGAGCAGCUGCAACCAGUUGGGUGCGGUGUGCCCCCGACGUCUGAAGUACCUGCAUGACCUGCUCAAGUGUGCGAGCGGGGGGAGUCUGACUGCCUCCCCCGGUCUGAGAAAUAGUUGUAACUGUAGUGGCUGAAACCGCAUGAGCGAGGCCAGUGCAAACUGAUAAGAUCUGAGCCAAGGCGUCUUGAAGACCCGGAAUGACAAUGGGCACAACUAAUGCCUGAGCUGGUGCUGCUGGAGCAUCCAUAACAAGGACAUGGUCCUGAACUGGGGCAGCUGGUGGGUCCACAAGUACUGCCCUUAUUGCUCUACCUCUACUACGACCACGACCACAUCCUCGGCCUCUAGUGGUUGCAGCCAGUGACACCGAUUUUCGUCCACCCUAUCCGGUAAUGCGUGUUCUCAUCAUCUGUGAAAGAAUAGAAUAACAGAAGUUUACUACUCCGAUCAACAAGUUCGCACGACAAGAAUUUCAAGAAUAUGAAUUUUUUCCUAAAGGUUCUGCAACCUCUCGAGGAUAAAUACAGAAGUCUCUGUACCGAUCCGCGAGACUCUACUAAACAUUCUCAUGACUCAUGAGACCAAUGUAACCUAGACUAUGAUACUAACUUGUCAAGACCCUAACCCUGAACCCGUCAUGAUUGCGCCUCUCGUGAAGACAAGGCCAGCCAAUUGAACCAAAUUCUCAUAUUUUAAACAGUUAAACAAUGCAAAAAUAAUCUAAACAUGGUUUAGUAGUACUGAAUAGCGAAAAUACAUAUACAAAAUAUGGAAAUCCAACCCGACACAGCCCUAACCGGGUGUCACAAGUCACGAGCAUCUAUAGCCAUAACACAAGUCUGUUAAAGUCAAAAUCUACUACAAAUGUUUGAAAAAGGACAGAAAUGAUAUAGUAGAGACACGGGGCUGCGGAAGCCAACAGCUACCUCAUAGUCUCCGAAUACUGCCUAGAACCGGAGAAAUCAACACUCAUGAGUGGAACCAGUGAUGCCUGAAUCUGAAUACAUGGUGUAGGGAGUAAUGUGAGUACUCUGACCCAGUGAGUAACAAAUAUAAAUAAUGACUAAAGGUAAGAAAACAUGUACUGCACAAGACAUUCUAUAAUGAAGCAGUAAAAAUCACAUAAAAAUCAGGAAAACUACUAAAACUCAAGUGAAAAUGCUCUUUAAGCCAGUAAACAGAAAAUUGACAUAUAAUUAUGAUAAAGUAAACAAAUAGAAAUUUGCCCCUUGGUCAUAGUAUCAACAAUCUAAUCCCUCGAGCAACAUCUCAGAACCAUACCAGCCCCUCGGGCUCAAUCUCACAUCACAAUGGGUACCCGCGCUCACUAUGGGUGUGCAGACUCUUGGAGGGGCCCCUUACGUCCCAAGCGCAAUAACAAGCCAUCUCGUGACAUCAAAUCUAGGCCCUCGGCCUCAUAUCAAUCAAGCCACCUCAUGGUGUACAUAUCUCAGGCCCUAUGCCUCAAAUCAGUAUCAGUGUUUCCUCAUAAUACAAGCCCUCGGCCUUACUAAAUCAAAAAUCAUCAGAAGCUCCUCGGGCAAUAGUAAAACAUUGUUUCUCAACCCAAACAUCAUUUAGAAUAUCAUUUAAGUCUCAACAUUGAGUAAACAUGGAUGAGUAGUAAAACAGUAGGAAAAGUACUAUGACUAAGUUCAAGUAAUAAAUCAAAAUAGUGAGGGAAUAUCAAAUAAAAGCACAGAAGAGUUCAAAUAUUUGGCACGAAGCCCAAAUAUGGCAUUCAGCCCAAUAAAUAAUGAUAGCAAAUUGUUUAAAUCAAAUACGCGGUAAAAUUAUCAAUCGGGACAGACCAAGUCAUAAUUCCCAAUAGUGCAUGGCCCCACAUCGGCCAUCCAGCGUAAGCCUCACCUCAAUAUAACACUACGAUGUGCAAUCUGGGGUUUCAAACCAUUAGAACACCAUUUACGAUCAUUAUUCACCUCGAACCGGCUAAAUCUCUAGCUCGCGAUGCUAUUUCCCCUCGAAUCUGCCUCCAUGUGUGUCGAAUCUAUCCAAAAUCAGAAUGAAUACGUCACAAUAUGCUGAGGCAACUAAGCCCAAGCAAAAACAAUCGAAAAAUACCAAAAAUUAGCAAAACCCGAGCCCUAGGCCCAUGUCUCGAAAUUCAAAAAUUUUGCAUCAGUAGAUUCCUCGUCUCUCAACGAGGCCAUACAUACCAAAAGAUCUCAAAUCCGACCCCCAGAUGGUCCUUCAAAUCACCAAAUCAAAAGUCCAAUUUCUCAAGCCCUAGUUCUUAAAUUUAAGCUUACUUUUCAUGAUUUUCUUGAUAGAUUUCACAAUAGAAUCGAAUUUUAAGUCCAAAAAUCUCACCCAAGACGUAAAAUGACCAGCAAUGGAGGAAAUGAGCCCUCAAAUUGUGGAUAAAACGAAUUAAAAACAUUCUGCCCAGGUCUGACUUCCCUUUUUCGCGAACGCGAUCAACCUCUCGCAUUCGCGAAGCACAAACUCGCGUUGACCAAAUUUUCUUGUACUCGAACGCGUAACAACCAUCGCGAACUUGAUGCUUCCUCCACCCAAACCUUCGCGAACGCGAUGAACAAAUGACUUUGAACCCCCUCAAGCCCAACUUACUCUACGCGAUCGCGAGUGCCUUCUCGCGAACGUGAUGCACUGCUUCCCAACCUUCCACGAACGCGAAGCCCCCUCUCGCAAAUGCAAAAGCUUAUUUCAUGGAUUUCCUCAAUCCUUCUACGCGAACGUAAUACACUCGGCGCGAACGCGAAGGGCAAUUUUUCGGCAACACUAAACAUGUAAUUUCUGCAACUUUCAAACUCCAAAAUGAUCAGAAUGACUACCCAAAACACACCCGAGGCCCCCGUGACCUCAACCAAAGGCACCAACAUAUUCUAAAACCUUAUUCAACUUGUUCCAACCAUCAAAACACUUCAAGCAACAUCAAAUUACGCAAAACACAUCGGAUACAAGCCUAAGUUUCUAAAAAUCUUCUAAAAUACACUUUCGAUAAAAAACCUACCCAAAUCACAUCCGAAUGACCUGAAAUUUUGCACACACAUCCCAAAUGACACAACGAAGCUACUGAAACUAUCAAAAUUCCAUUCCAACCCUUAUAUCAAAAUCUCUAUCAACCGGAAAUUGCCAAAAUAUCUACUUCGCCAAUUCAAGACUAAUUUUACUCCAAACCUCCAAAACCCAUUCCGAUGACACUCCUAAAUCAUAAAUUAUCUCCAGAAGCUAACUGAACCAUCGAAACUCACAUUUGAUCCCUCUAACACAUAAGUCAACAUUCAGUUGACUUUUACAACUCAAACCUUCUUAAAAGAGACUAAGUGUCUCAAACCUUACCAAAAUACUUAUAGACUCAAUCCGACCAACUCGAUACCACAAAACACGGAUAAUGAAGCAUAAAGAAGUAAAAAUAGGUAAAAUGGAGUGGUAACUCAUGAGACGACUGGCUGAGUCGUCACAAAUGCACAUAGUUUUCAAAAAUGCUUUAAAAUUAGAUAAAUAAGCCAAUAAUAAUAGUUGAGAGACCGUGCUAAAACCACGGAACUCGAAAAUUCUUUACACCUUUUCUCGAGUUAACAGAAUUCCUUAUCUCUAUUUCUGUGUUCGCAGACCAUAAAUAAGAGUCAACUCUCCUCGAUUCGAUAUUUUAAACUGGUGACUUGGGACACCAUAAAUUAUCCCAAGUGGCGACUCUAAAGUUGAAUAAAUAAUUCUAUUUCGAUUAUUGUCAUUUCAAUUGAAAAAAAUCCCUUAUACUCCCUUUCGGGGGUAGAAAACUGAGGUGUGACAACCCGUCUAACCACUCAGCCCCCAUAUAUUUUUACUCAAUUUCUUAAUUUUUAAACUAAACUCAUCUUAUACUCUGUUUCAUACAAAUUGUAUAUUAUUUUGCUUUACUUGGUUUUUAGAAUAAACUCAUUAUUUCACUUAAAACCUUACUUUAUUCAUGAUUGUUAUUAUAUUUAUUAGUGUUUAACUAUAUCUUUCGUUCAUCUAAAUUAAUAUUUAUCACAUUUACAAAUUACAUGGUAAUACUUGGGCUUUGCCGUGCGAAGGUGAUUGUUAUUGUGGGUUUGAGGUGUCAUAUGUGUAAAAUUUGGAAAUUAUGGUUCAUGACUUGUGAUUUGUGAGUUGCGGUGGCUCGGGAUAAUUCUUGUUGUAAGUCCAUGCAUUGGGAGCGAUUUGAUUGUUUGAGUUAUCAUUCAUUUUUCCCUAUUUGAGUUCAUUUACAUCUCAUCGAUGUUCUGAUUAUGUUGUUUCUUUUGUUACUCGUUUACUACUUAUUGCUAUUUAUGUUUCUAUUACUUCAUUAUUGGUUGUAAAUCAAUAAUUUUUUUAUCGUUACAUCGAUGUUCUUUCCAUUGUUAGUUUACGUAUAUAUUGAAUAGGUUUCUAUGUCUAGUAGGUGUUUUGACCUGGCCUCGUCGCUACUCUAAAGGUUAGGCUUGAUACUUACUGGGUACCGUUGUGGUGUACUCAUGGUACGCUUUUGCAUAUUUUUAUGUAGAUCCAGGUAUUCUUGUUAUUGAGAGUUGCAGCUACGCGGCUGGAGACUUCAAGGUAUACCUGCUUGACGUUCACAUGCAUCAAAGUCACCAUCUUGUUUCAUUAUGUUACUGUUAAAUUGUAAUUCAAAACAGUAUUGUAUUUAGAAAUUGUAGUAUGUUUUAGUAGUGUUUAACUGCUUAUGACUCUGUACUACCGGUUUUGAAAAAUGUAAAACUAUUCGUUAUUUGCGGCUAUGUAUGUCAUUUAAUGGUUUAUUAUAAAUGAUUAAAUAGUUCAAUUCUAUUAUUAAACCAGCAUGAGUUAGGAUUACAUAGUCUUAGAAACUAGGUGCCAUCAUGACAUCCUAAGGUUGAAAAUUCAGGUUGUGAUAUAUUUAGACAAAUUUGACUUUCUUCUAUUUAGAAUAGAAACCUAUUGAUAUGUCUUUAUAUUUCUUGUACAUAGGAUCUAAGAUUGUAUAUCAUUAUAAUAAAAUGGUAUAUUAUAUAAUAAAAUGUCAUAUUAGUACUUAAUGUUAUUGUAAAAUACUUGUUACAAUAGUACAAACACUACAUAAAAAUAUACCACAAAUGUAUGUUACUAUUUUAGGUCUUCCAGCGCCUACUUCUUGUAUAUUGAAUAUUAUUUUCAUGGAACUUUAUCAAAAAUUCAUUUAAGAAAACAUUUGCAAGGAACUAGUUAGAAACAUUUUAAAAAAUAAAAAAUUAAUAAUUUAUUUUGGUAUAUUGUUAUAUUAUAUUGCAUGCUAUAACAAUAUAAUGUUACUAUAAUAAUGACUUUAGCCUUGCACAAUAACACCUGGAUGAUUCAAAAAUGAAGAUUCGAAGUAUACUAUUAUGGUAUGUUGUAUAUAUUAUAGCAUAUUAUUGCAGUAUAUAGUAUAACAUAACUGUUAUUGUAUAAUAUUGUAGAAUAGCAACAUAUUCCUACAAUAUAUUUUAUACGGUAACGGUAUACUAUUAGGUAAUUGUGUUUUUCUUCGAUUAUUACAAUAUAUCGUUGUAGUAUAUUGUAUACUAUAAUAGUACAUUGUUGUAGUAUAGCUAUAUACUUUUACAACAUUUUUGAUAUGAUUCUUCCAGUUAACAAAGAACCAACCGACUAGGAUCAAGAUCUUGAAACGAAAAACGUGAUUUGUGGGUCGAUUUCAAGAAACAACGUAUCUCAAGUUUUAGGACUUAUAAUAUGAUGAUUAAAAAAUGAGAUUGAAGAUGACGAUCUAAACAAUAAGAAAGACUAUUUACUCGCUUAAAACAGAUAAAUAUUGAUGUUGUAAUGGUUCAAGAAAAGUUAUGAUUCUAUGAUAACAAAAAAACAAAAUUAGAUCAAGAAAUGUGUUCUUGAAUGAUCAAGAACUAAAAAGUUCCUAAAGUCACCACUUGAAAUCAAUUAAUGUGAUAAAGAAAUACCGCAUGCAAUUGAAAACAAGAUAAAGACUAUCACCAUCUUGCUUGGAACCAAAAAUAAGAAUAAAGAAGACAAAAUAUAGAAAAAUACUCUAUUGUAAAUGUAUGGCAAGCCUCAAAAACAUGAAUCCCUCUUCUAUAAGGCAUGAAAACCCUUUAUAUAAGCCUAACCUCUCUUCUUCGAUGACUACAAUUCCUAUUCUAAUAAGGAAAUAAAUUACUAAAGAGAAGAAAACUAAAUUUCAUAUUCUACAAGGAAAAUAAACUAGAAUCCUACUAAAAAGGAAAAUCCUUAUUCCAAAAGGAAUAAAAUAAAUCCUAUUUUAAGAAGGAAAGAAUCUUGGCUUCAUGAAAUCAAUCUUGAGCUUCUUAGACUUCUUAUGCUUCUUGAAGAUAAGUCCAUAUGUUUGGACUUGAGCUCUAAAACAUGAUCUUGGUCAAAAUUAAUGAAAUUUAACGUAGAUUCUUCUUUUACAUCAAUAGUUUAUGUUGUAUCAGUAUACUGUUGGGCAACUGUGUUUUUCGAUUUUCAGUUGAAAAUUUUGAUCUCAAACACCUCAAAUCAGCUCCAAAUGCUAUCAACUUUCAGUACGAACUUUCAAAAGGUACUAUAAGCAAUAUUUAAUAACGCUCACAUUGAAGCGAACAAGAAAUCUUCAAAAUAAAAAUUUCAAAUUCAAGAGCUUCAAGCCCAAUAAUGGUGAAUAUUCAAAUACGCAUAAAAAUUUAGAUCCGGGAAGCUUACUUGAAGGUACUAUAAGUAAUAUUUUAUAGCACCCACUUUGAAUCAAAUUACUAAAUUUUCAAAACAAAAUUUCAAAUUCAGCAGCUUCAAGCUCAACAAUAGUGAAUUUUCAUAUAUACACAAAAAUCGAAUUUAGAAAACGUUUAUAUAUAUGUAUGUAUAUAUAUAUAUAUAUAUAUAUAUAUAUAUAUAUAUAACCACAAUAAGAUAUGAAUUCAGAAAUACAAAAUAAAUACGCACACAAAAAUAUAUUAAUAUAGAAAGAGGAUUUGGAGUGAAAUUCAUGAAUAAUAUGAAAACUUAUCUUUUAAAAUUUAGAUAGAAUAUUCUUUUAAAAAAAUUGGAUAAAUGCAUGGGUUUCUACUGAUUUUCAUCAUUCACUAAAAGGACUAAGUUAUGAGGUUCUGAUAAAUAGUUUAGACCGUAUAGGAAGGAAAAGUAAAUUAUUUGGAUUUGGAUAUUAAAGGAUAAAUAGUUUGGGUUUAAUAGGUAUAGAAUGAAAUUGUUUUUGGUUUUUUUAAGGGAAUCUGACAAAAAUAUCCCAAAUAAGUUCCAACUUAUCAAUAUCUAGCAAUUAGUCAUAGAAUUAUCAAAACGAGCCAAACACAUAUAUAAAUGUAAAACCUAAAUAAAUAAGGUUCUUUCUCUCCAAAAAUCACACGCAAAGAUUUCCUUCUAUAUUUUUGAGUGUGAUCAACAAUAUUAGAUGGAAGACAAAAUUUUUUUUUUAUGAAUGAUGUAGAAAAUAAGGUGAUGAAAUAUAAAAAAAAUUACAUAUAGAAGAUUUCAAAAAUCUAAACCAAAAAUGAUUUUUUCAAUAGGUAUGGUUGAACUUUAUUGAAAAUACAUAAACGAGUCAAUAUACAAAAUUGAUAAAGAUUGGAGGUAAUUUUUUGUUAUCAAAGUUCGUAUUUAAAAUCGAGUUCAAAGAAUUCUUCUGCGACACAUGUAUUAAAUAUGUAUCGCACAUGUAUCUCAUACAAGUAUACAUGGAUAUACAUAUAUACAUAUUUGAUACAAAUGAGAUACAUAUGUGAUACAAAUGAUACACAUUUUUUUUCAUGUUCAUCUUUUACUUCGAAUUUUCAAUUCAAACCAUCUAAAAACUCAACUAAAUCAUCCCAAAACUGAGAUUCAAGCUCCUUAAAAUGUACUCAAUCCAUUCUUAUAAUACCACUCAAAAGAAAGUAAAAAUUUGACCUUUUUGACUACAAAUAACUAAUUGACUAAUAUUGAUAAUAUUAAUAAUAUUUUAUUAAUUUAUUAAUUUUUAUAAUAAAUUACUUAUAAAUGAAUAUAGCUUGUAGUUCUUUUUUUAAUGGCCAAACGGGCCGUUAGUUGCUUGUACACAAUCUUUAACAUGACAUAUGCUCCUAGUUUGCAUUCUUCCCAUACUCUGUGGAUAUUUCUGGACAAAAUUUAAAAACUAAAAAGGUUGACCAAAAAAAUAUAAUCCAGCAUUAACUUAAAGGACUCAAAAGGAAUAAAAAAUGAAUAUAAGGGCAAAAUUUGAAGCAAAAAAAAAACAUUAAAAAAAGUCCGAAGUUUGUAGUAGUUCCAACAACCAAAACCAGAAGAGUCCCACACUCUCCCGCCCUCACUAUUUUCGAUGUACUAUUUAUGUUCAUCAUAUAAAUAUAAGUAUUUCUCCUUUUCUUUCUAAUUCACAUUAAAUACAUACUAACAGUUAUUUGGAUUUAUCCAGAUUUUGUUACCUAUUAUCUAAUAAUCCAAAAUACAUUUACAUUACUCAUACAUCAGCAUUCAGUUGUAUACUACUAUGUAUAUAAUUAUUGAGAUCAGAUAAACAUUUGCCCCAAAAAUCUCGUUCGAUCUGAUUUUAUUCUCCAAAAUAUUUUCUAGGUUUUUAAGUUUGCAUUCACUUGAUCCAAUUUAUAUCUACUUGGGGUCUCACAUAUAAUAGAAGACAUUAAUUUUUUUGGUAAUUAUUGAAGAAAAAGAAUGGUGGGAUCAGAGAAGAAAUCACUUGUUUUUGCUUAUUAUGUUACUGGUCAUGGAUUUGGCCAUGCCACCCGUGUUGUUGAGGUACGUUCUUUUUCUGCUGUUCAAUUUGUUACGUUUACGUUUUGAACUGCAUUGAAACUUUGUACUAUACUUAGUAAUGCUGGAAUUAGCAACAACUGAUAAUGUGUUCUAAUUGAUUGAUCCAUUUUUGUUCCUCUUAAUUUGUUUUAAUUUGUUCAAUGUGCUGGCAUGAGUUUAUACAUUGUGUUUGCGAUUUCUGAAAGUUGUAUAUGUGUAGCAUGCUUAAAAAGAAAAUCCGUUGGUAUCUGGUAAGGUAAUUGGAGCGAUAGAGUAUGAGAAAUGUGAAUAAACUGAAUGUGUUGCGGGUGAUUAUUUGGAUACACUGACAACAAAUAUUACGCCUCUAUUCCAAGCAAGUUGGGUUUACGUGCGUAAUGUGAUCAAAUCCAAUUUUAGGACUAAAUGUACAUUAUGGUACUGCAAAGUCAGAUCGUGUAUGGGAAGUUGGAUGAUCUUCUCAAAAGUAAUUGAAGACAAAGUUCUUUCCUUUAUUUUCAGGGAUCUUGGUACACGUAUUUGGCCUAAAUGUUAAGAUAGCAUCUUGCACCAUACACUAAGCAAUGUAACCUUCAUUCCUUAGUGACUUGGUGCUAUAGACUAUUUUGUAUGCCUCCUUUUUAACUGUUCCUUCGGACGUAGUAGGAUUUUACCAUGAAGGAUUUAGCCUCAACUCUUCGUAUCAUCUUGUACAGGCUCUUCUUCCUCAAGCAUAAGUUUUGUCAGGGGCCUCUUUAUUUGGGCUAGCACUCCCCAAUCCUCUGGUAUCAUCUUGUAUAUUAAUCCAUUAGUGCCAACGUUGAACAGCGCAAUAGAUCAUUAUGUAUUGUGUUCGUUUGUUGCUGAUAGUUUAUUUGCCCCACAUAGUUAGAUCUUUUUGAGUAACAUUACUAAAAGCACUAUUGAAAAGUUUCACCAUGUUAUGCCACUCCGAUAGAAGUUAAAAUUGACUUUGCAAACCUAGCCAUCAAAUAAAGCUUGUGUCAUGAUUGAAUAGAUCUAUUUCCUGUUUGCUAGUUAAUGUCUCAGCUUCAGGAAAGUCUCUUUCUCUUUUACUUAUCUAAUUUAGUUAACUAACAUUGGCAUCAUUUUAAUGCACUAAGGACAAAAGGGUAACUGCAUAACGUGAUAGGACUAGAUGACAUAAGAAGGAGUGGCCACUUCUGCUAUUUUCUUUGCUUUGUUAUACCAUCACAUUUAGGUUAUGGAAAAAAACCCACCUCCUUUUGGUUUAUUUUGUGGAACUCUAGAAGCUUGCGCAUAAUGAUCAUUAAUUUGUUAGCACUAACUUGUUUUGUUUAUCAAUACUCCCUAAUCUCAAAUUUUGUAAUGCAAGGUUGUCCGCCAUCUAAUUGAAGCAGGACAUGAAGUUCACGUGGUUACUGGUGCUCCUGACUAUGUUUAUACUACUGAGAUACAAUUGCCUCGACUUUUUAUCCGUAAGGUUAGUCCUUUUUGAUCAUUUUCUGUAAAGGUUAGUCAGGUUAAGGUACUGAGUGUUGCAUGCGGCAGCUGGAUGUUUUUGGUUCUUGCGAAUUGGGAGAUUAGAACUGCUUGAUCUCUAUUAAAUCAACUUUUUUGGUAUGCUUGUAAUGCAUGAUUCCAUCCUUUGCUGUUUCACUGUCUGAUUUGAAAUAAUCAACAUAAAGCUGCAGUGAGUAGGGACGAUUGGUGUUUUAAUCCUGCGGAGAAGCAGAACAAAAUUUUCCUUUCUAAUUACAUUAUGUGAAAGGAUAAAUUAGUUUAAGCUUGAUGAUCUCAGCUUUUCAAGUUUUCUAGACGAAAAAGGACAAAUGGAUGUAUAGUUAUUCAGCAAAUGGUGUCAAGGUGUGGAAGCUGGAAUAUUUUUUGUUCUGUUACUCGACUGAUCUCAAUCUCCACUGGCAAGGGAAAGAAUGUGCUUUAACAUUUUCCGUCUCACUACAAAGUUUGAGCACUAACACUCUUGACAUUUCGUCAAAGCUUAGUACAGGUCCCGUAGUUUUUCUAAGGAUGAGAUGUUAGUGUUUCAGGUUUUGUUGGACUCUGGAGCAGUUCAAGCAGAUGCUUUGACAGUUGACCGUCUUGCUUCACUGGAAAAGGUGGGCCACUUAUUCUAUGAUGAGGGCAAAAGGUUCUAUUGCAGCAAUUACUUAACUAUCCGAUUUCUAUUCAUAUCAUUCAUUUUGAUUGAAAGUACCACUUGUGCUUAUCUUUAUCCAGUAUAUCCAGACAGCCGUACUGCCCAGGGAUCUGAUCUUGGCCACGGAAGUUGAAUGGUUGAAAUCUAUCAAGGCUGACUUGGUGGUAAUAUGAUCCUAAUGGCAGCAUCUGCUCUUUUGUUGUACUGCUAUUUUUAAAACCCAAUCACUGCUGUAUUAUUAAUACAAGCUAGCUAAGAUCUAUUUCUCCUUUAUCCAGAAGUACUACUUGAUAUUGUAGUGUCUUAAAGAGUGAAAGCAUAUGGCAUUUCAAGCUGGUGAAGUUUUCUGAAGGGAGAAAAAUGCAUUUAGAUGUCUGAUAAAAAGCAAAUUGUUAUAAAAAAAAGUAAAUUGUUAAAAUCUGAUAAAUCUUAAAGUAGAGAAACUGACCAGUUGGAUUACGCAGAAACGUGAAAACAUCAUUAUAAAAAUCCAAAAACAUGUUUCUACCUUACAAGAGAAAUAAAUUUUAGAUAAAAGUAAAAUUUCCCAAACGAAAAGAAUUUUGUCUAAUUUAAAAUGGCAUUGUUUCUUAAUCAAAAGUAUAUCCAUUUUCCAUUAAUCUGAAAGGUAGAUAAUUUUGAGAGGAUAUAUAAUUGUUUGAACUGUAAGUAGGAUUGGAAAAUGCAGAUAAAUCACGAACAGAGAGAAAGCAGCACCGGUAGGGGCUGAACUUGCAUAAUAAGAAGAACCUAAAUUCUGAUUUGAGGGGAAUUCUAGUAAAAUGGGAUCUUUAGAGUUACUAAACAUAGUUGGUGAAUUAUGAAGCUCUCUUUUGUCUAUCAAAAGAUGUAACGUUUUAGAAACCUUAAUGUUAUUUCAUCUGAGUGGAUAUAUCCCAUAAACGUAAUCUUGAGAAGUGAAACCAACAUAGGCAGCAAAGUUCCUUUGACUUCAAGAAUUGUAAACUGAAGAGGAAAUUUUCUGUCUAUAGCUAAAAGGUUAAAUAUAUUUUGCUGCAUUACACAGCAUGUGCACUCCGACGAGAUAGUGUCUUGUACACAGUUCAUUUUGUUGGCUGUUCCCAAAUAUGUGGGAUGAAAAGUUAUCAGGACACUAAGGAUGGCAUUUCUGCUGUAUAUAUUUUCUGUCAAUUAUGUAACGACUUAAAUUCAAUUGUAAGAGCAUAAACACAUGCAUUAUAUACUCAUUGUAAAAGAAAAAAAGCAGUUGAUUACUAUAAGUGUCGGCGAUGACCCUAUUCAUUUAGGUAAGUAGAAGAGAAAUCCAUAGUUGGAUUAGUUCCCCUUCAGUGGAGAUAGAAACCUAUUUAGAUCCCUCACCGACAAAUAGCAUACUCUCUUAGAAUAUCCCUUGAAUAAGCGGAUGAACCACUUGAGCCUCCUAUUUCACUGAAUCCGCUCCCAUCUCUACAGAGCCCCGAAAGCUUAUAGGAUCUCUAGGCUGUAGAGAAAGGGCCUAUGAUGGAAUCAUUGAAUCUCAGCGACGCGGUGAAAGAUCUAAAAGAGGUGGAUGAUCCCAAGUAUUGCAAAUAUCACCGCAUCGUCAGUCACCCUACAGCAAGAUGCUUCGUCUUAAAGGAGAAGAUCAUGACGUUGGUGAGGGAUCAUUGUAGUAUUGAAAUAAUAAUAUCUCAAUAAUUUUUUUCUCCCGUGCAUUUUCACAUGGUAUCAGAGCAACCGUGAGAAAUUCAUCGUUGCGCGUCAUACCAACGACAUCCGGAAAGGAAUAACUAAGUCACCGUGCAAUUUUUCGGUGACCUAAGUGACUAAUCGCGUCAAAGUCACUAAUUUUAGUAUUGUGCAAAAUCCGAGACCACCACGAAAAGCACCCCCACGCGCCGUCACGCGCCUGCCGGAGCUUUGCCGCCGCCUGCGCGUGAGCCACCUUCCGGCCAGAAUUUCAAAAAAAAAAUUAAGGACAGUCUUGAUCGUAUUCAAAUUCCGAGCCUACCCAUAUUUUUAUUUUUCAAUUCCGACAACCUGGAAUUUUCUCCGGUAGCUACAGUGAUUUUCCGGCAGCUACAGUGUUUCCUUCAUCUGUUUCAGCAGUUUUCAGUUGAUUCUUUCUGAUUAUUUGGUGAUAAUCCAACGAUGUCUUCGGGACUCGAUGCUUUCGGGUCUAGAAACCCGGGUUCUGGCAAUUCCAGUGUUACGAUUACCUCAGAACCCUUAAUGGGAGGUUCAAACUACCUAGCUUGGGCUAGUUGGUUCUUUCUGAUUAUUUGGUGGUAAUCCAACGAUGUCUUUGGGACUCGAUGUUUUCGGGUCUAGAAACCCGGGUUCUGGCAAUUCGGGUGUUAUGAUUACCUCAGAACCUUUAACUGGGGUUCAAACUACCUAGCUUGGGCUUCGUCUGUCGAGUUGUGGUGUAAAGGUCAAGGAGUUCACGAUCAUUUAACUAAAAGGGCUAUUGAAGGUGAUGAAAAGGCCAAAACACAGUGAGAAAAGGUCAAUGCUCAGUUAUGUAGUAUUUUGUGGCGAUCUACUGAUUCCAAGUUGAUGCCAUUGUUCCGUCCAUUCCAGACAUGUUAUUUAGUUUGGGAAAAGGUUCGUACUUUAUACACUAAUGACAUAUCUCGUUUCUAUGAUGUAAUAUCGCGAAUGACAAGCUUAAGUUGAUGCCCUUGUUCCGUCCAUUCCAGACAUGCUAUUUAGUUUGGGAAAAGACUCGUACUUUAUACACUAAUGACAUAUCUCGUUUCUAUGAUGUAAUGUCGCGAAUGACAAGCUUGAAGAAACAGUAAUUGGAUAUGUCUACUUACUUGGGACAAGUACAUGCGGUCAUGGAAGAAUUUGAGACUUUGAUGUCAGUUUCUACUAGUAUUGAAAAGCAACAAGAGCAACGGCAGAAGAUGUUUCUAGUUCUUACACUAGCUGGACUCCCUAAUGACCUUGAUUCAGUACGUGACCAAAUUUUGGCUAGUCCGGUUGUCCCCACAGUUGAUGAACUAUUUUCUCGAUUACUUCGCGUUGCUGCAGCACCAAGUCACCUAAUGAGCUCAUCACAGACACUUGAUUCAUCUGUCCUUGUAUCCCAGUCAGUGGACAAUCAGGCAUCUCCUACUAUGGAGAAUAGACGCGGAGGAGGUCGUUUUGGAAAAUCUAGUCACUCUAGAUUCCGUUCUCUAUGUCCCUGGCUGUCCUUUUAGUCUUGCAUCUGUUAGUCGUUUGACUCGUGAUCUCCAUUGUGGUAUAUAUUUAUUGAUGAUUCCUUUAUUAUGCAGGACCGCAGUACGGGGCAGACGAUUGGAACAUGACUUNNNNNUUGAUGAUUCUUUUAUUAUGCAGGACCGCAGUACGGGACAGACGAUUGGAACAGGACUUGAAUCAGAAGGACUCUACUACCUUAACUCACUAAUAUCCUCCAAGGCCUGUGUAGUUGCAGAUCCUCCAGACCUACUUCACAGUCGUUAGGACAUCCUAGCUUGUGCAAGCUUCAGAAAAUGGUGCUUAAUUUGUCUAGUUUAUCCACAUUAGAGAGUGAGUCAUGUCAGCUUGGGAAACAUACCCGAGCCUCCUUUCCUCGAAGUAUUGAGAGUCAUGCAGAGUCUAUUUUUUCUUUAGUUCAUUCUGAUAUAGGGGGUCCUUGUAGAGUCAGUUCAACCUUGGGGUUUCGUUAUUUUGUUAGUUUCAUUGAUGAUCNNNNNNNNNNNNNNNNNNNNNNNNNNNNNNNNNNNNNNNNNNNNNNNNNNNNNNNNNNNNNNNNNNNNNNNNNNNNNNNNNNNNNNNNNNNNNNNNNNGAGUCAGUUUAUGGGUUCUCCGUGUGAUAGUCAUUGGGAUGCAGUUGUUCGCAUUCUUCGGUACAUAAAAUCAGCUCCAGGCAAAGGGUUAUUGUUUGAGCAUCACGGCCAUAAGCGAAUCGGUUGAUACUCAGAUGCUGAUUGGGCAGGAUCACCGUCUGAUUGAUGUUCUAUGUCCGGAUAUUGUGUUUUAGCCCCUCAACAAAAUGGGUUUGCCGAGAGAAAGAAUAGGCAUAUCAUCGAGACUGCUCGCACACUUCUCAUUGAGUCUCAUGCCCCGCUGCGUUUUUGGGGCGAUGCAGUUCUCACAGCUUGUUGGAUGCCUUCCUCUCCCAUACAGAAUCAGAUACCGUAUGCCAUAGUGUUUCCCUAAUCACCCUUAUACUCUGUUCCCCCUCGUGUUUUUUGGAGCACUUGUUUUGUUCAUAACUUAGCCCCGAGGAAAGAUAAGUUAGCCCCUCGUGCUCUCAAGUGUGUCUUCCUUGGUUAUUCCCGUGUUCAGANNNNNNNNNNNNNNNNNNNNNNNNNNNNNNNNNNNNNNNNNNNNNNNNNNNNNNNNNNNNNNNNNNNNNNNNNNNNNNNNNNNNNNNNNNNNNNNNNNNNNNNNNNNNNNNNNNNNNNNNNNNNNNNNNNNNNNNNNNNNNNNNNNNNNNNNNNNNNNNNNNNNNNNNNNNNNNNNNNNNNNNNNNNNNNNNNNNNNNNNNNNNNNNNNNNNNNNNNNNNNNNNNNNNNNNNNNNNNNNNNNNNNNNNNNNNNNNNNNNNNNNNNNNNNNNNNNNNNNNNNNNNNNNNNNNNNNNNNNNNNNNNNNNNNNNNNNNNNNNNNNNNNNUCGCUUUUGACAUAUCAUCGUCGUCCGCACCCAGCAUCAGGCCCAGCUGAUUCACGUCCUACAACUGACCCUGCUCCUACUGCGGACUUGUCUCUUCCUAGUCCACCGAUUGCACUUCGAAAAGGUANNNNNNNNNNNNNNNNNNNNNNNNNNNNNNNNNNNNNNNNNNNNNNNNNNNNNNNNNNNNNNNNNNNNNNNNNNNNNNNNNNNNNNNNNNNNNNNNNNNNNNNNNNNNNNNNNNNNNNNNNNNNNNNNNNNNGAGUUAUCAUCGUUUGUCAUCACCUUAUUAUGCUUUUCUAUCUUCUUUGUCCUCUGUUUCCAUUCCUAAGUCUACAGGUGAUGCGUUGUCUCAUCCAGGAUGGCGACAGGCUAUGAUUGACGAGAUGUCAGCUUUACACACGAGUGGUACUUGGGAGCUUGUCCCUCUUCCUUCAGGUAAAUCUACUAUUGGUUGUCGUUGGGUGUAUGCAGGUUGGUCCGGAUGGUAAGGUUGAUUGUCUUAAGGCUCUCCUUGUUGCUAAGGGAUAUACUCAGAUAUUUGGGCUCGAUUACAGUGAUACCUUCUCUCCCGUGGCUAUAUAGCUUCAAUCCGCCUUUUUCUAUCCAUGGUUGUUCUUCGCCAUUGUCCCCUCUAUCAGCUGGACAUUGAAAAUGCUUUUUUACAUGGUGACCUUACGGAUAAAGUUUAUAUGGAGCAACACCUGGGUUUGUUUAGCUCAGGGGGAGUCUCGUGGUCUUGUAUGUCGCUUGCGCCUGUCACUUUAUGGUCUAAAGCAGUCUCCUCGAGCCUGGUUUGGUAAGUUCAACACAGUUAUAUAGAAAUUUGGCAUGAUUCGGAGUGAAGCUGAUCACUCUGUGUUCUAUCGGCAUUCUGCUUCGAGUCUCUGUAUUUAUCUGGUGGUUUAUGUUGAUAUUGAGAUCUCAUAACAGAAGUAUGCCUUAGAUAUUUUUGAGGAGACAAGAAUGACAGGUAGUAGACCUGUUGACACUCCGAUGGAUCCGAAUUCUAAACUUCUGUCAGGACAGGGGGAGUCGCUUAGCGAUCCUGCAAGAUAUAGACGGUUGGUUGGUAAAUUAAAUUAUCUUACAGUGACAAGACCUGACAUUUCCUUUUCUGUGAGUNNNNNNNNNNNNNNNNNNNNNNNNNNNNNNNNNNNNNNNNNNNNNNNNNNNNNNNNNNNNNNNNNNNNNNNNNNNNNNNNGAGUCAGUUUAUGGGUUCUCCGUGUGAUAGUCAUUGGGAUGCAGUUGUUCGCAUUCUUCGGUACAUAAAAUCAGCUCCAGGCAAAGGGUUAUUGUUUGAGCAUCACGGCCAUAAGCGAAUCGGUUGAUACUCAGAUGCUGAUUGGGCAGGAUCACCGUCUGAUUGAUGUUCUAUGUCCGGAUAUUGUGUGUUAGUAGGAGGAAAUUUGGUGUCCUAGAAAAGCAAGAAACAGAAUGUAGUUGCUCGGUCUAGUGCAGCAGCAGAAUAUCGAGCAAUGGCUAUGGUAACAUGUGAGUUAAUUUGGAUCAAACAGUUACUCAANNNNNNNNNNNNNNNNNNNNNNNNNNNNNNNNNNNNNNNNNNNNNNNNNNNNNNNNNNNNNNNNNNNNNNNNNNNNNNNNNNNNNNNNNNNNUUUGGAUCAAACAGUUACUCAAGGAGUUGAAAUUCGGUGAGAUUAGUCAGAUGGGACUUGUGUGUGAUAAUCAAGCUGCUCUUUAUAUUGCAUAAAAUCCAGUGUUCCAUGAGAGAACUAAACAUAUUGAGAUUGACUGUCACUUUGUUAAAGAAAAGAUACUUUCGGGAGAUAUUGCUACAAAGUUUGUGAAGUCGAAUGAUCAGCUUGCAGAUAUUUUCACCAAGUCCCUCAGUGGUUCUCGUAUUAACUACAUAUGUAACAAGCUCGGUAUAUAUGAUUUAUAUGCACCAACUCGAGGGGGGAGUGUUAGAAUAGUUAUGUGAAUAUAUGUAAUUAGUCCUAAUCCCUUAGUAAUAAAUAGGGCUCGUUGUAACAUAGGCUAUUAAUCAAUAAUAUUUUCUCCCAUGCGUUCUCACAAACAAAAGCUUGCUCUCCACUUUACUUGAUGAGGUGGGGGAGGCCGGCAAAUACGUUACUCAUGCUCUUUUUUGGUGUCAAUGACUUUUGUCAUUUUGUGACUCGUUUUUAUGAAUGUAUGAACAUAUUUAAAUUAUUUCUCCAGCACAUUUAUAAUUGCUGAUGUGGGAAAACUGACUUCCCCGUGCAUUCUCCCAAGUAUCUUUGAUAUUUUCAAUUGUAAUACAUAUGGUGUAUUUAUGGAAUCAUAUGUGAUUCACUUCUUCCCUUGUUCUUUUUCCGUGCUUCUUUUGUUUCCUCUUCUUCUUAUCAUUUGUAAGUUUGUAACAUUAUAAAAAUGCUAAAUAUGUGGCAUCUUUGAGUGCCGAGGAUGCAGAGGACAAGAUUCCGGUAGUUAAAGCUGAAUGAAUUUUAAAUAUGCAUUAGACAUCUUUGCCUAGCUGCCUAACAUGUGGCUAUUUGGAUACUACAUCCAACAUGAGUAGAAGGCCUUCUAUAAGACUUAUUCUUCCUAAAUAAAUACAUAAAGAAAACAACUGCUUUGCAUUUGUGUGUUGUCCAGUUAAUAAGGCUAUAGGUUCUUGCUAGAUAUGAUUUCACUGAAGUGCCUAACGUUAAUAUUUUUCACUAGUAGGUCUCAGAUGUAGUUCCUGUUGCAUGUCGAGCAGCCGCUGAUGCUGGAAUUCGUGCAGUUUGUUGCACAAACUUCAGGUAACACAGAAAUUUGAUUUUCACUCAUGAUGUUGAGUUUAGGUUUUAUGAUUUUAUCCCUUGUGUUAUAUGCUUAACUAUCACAUGGAUGGUGGACUGUGCGGAUGUCUUUGCUUAAUGUUGUGCAUCAAGGAUAGAGUAUUUGUGGUUAAUAAAGACAUUCUUAUCAAAUAGACUUCACAGAAGUUAAACUAUGUUAGGUUGAGGAAAAAAAUAGGUGAUUUUGAGGCUUUUUAAGUAGCAGUCACUUGGUUCGUCUGUGGACAUUUAUGAAUAUUUUCAAUUUAUUACCUUGUUCAUCAAUUGAGACAUAAAAGGUUAUAUAUGUAAUAUAUGCAAUAAAUUGUCGUCCAGCUCGUACUCAUUUCUACCAAAAUUUUAGAAUUCUCGUUCCUGCUAUGAGUUCAUCUGCUACUUAGCAUGUGUAACUCUGAGAGAGAGAACAGAAGUACGAGCAUGUUGCUCUUUUGCAAUUGAUGUUUGGAUAGGAACACUGAUGACUAAAUGUGCUUUUAGUAGCAUCUUGAAGAAUGUACUGCAUUAAGAUUUUGAUAUCACAUUAUCAUCUUUUUCGCUGACAAUUGUUUUAGUGUGACCGACUUAACAAACUUUAAGUGAUUCCUUCUUUUUUGACGACCGGUUCAUUAUUGGCCCGUAUUUUCUUGUCUUUUCAACUCUCCAGUUUUAUCUUUGGAUUAAAAUGUUAGGUGACUUUAUAGUGUGGUUGUGAUAAAUUCCAAUAGUUAAGUAAUCAACACCGGGCCCUCUCUGUAAAAUGGGUAACUGAAUCUACUUUCUCCUUUUAUGAGCUCAUCGGUCAUUACUUUAGAAAAUUGGAGUACCACAUAUUAUUGCGUCUUCUGCAUUUUGUUGUCUGUUAUUUUGAAAGGUUAAAAAGAGAAUACUGUUUCAUCGUCCUUUAGAAUUUGCUUUAGCGUCUAGGAUACAUGAAAUUAUCAUAUUGUUUGAAAAUACAAAAUUAUCACCAUAUAAACAGAUGGGAAGAAGUUAAUUUGCUUAGAUCUCCAUUGUUCAAAAUUUUGGCAGUUGGGAUUUCAUCUAUGCAGAUUAUGUCAUGGCUGCUGGAUAUCACAACCGUUCAAUAAUUUGGCAGGUGAUUACUAACCUUCAAUAUAUAUAUAUUCCACAAAUCGGUUCGGCCUUUUCAUUUCCACCCAAAUACUCCGAAAGUUAAUUUCAAAAAUUCCACCCAAAACAGUCACGUAGGAGAUAAAGUAACUAUAUAUGUAUCCAUUUUAGGGGUAACAUUUAGUAACAUCUUGUGAUUGUUUUAUUCAAAAUUGUAAAUUUCUUUAAUCUAAUGUAUUAUUUUUCAUUCUCACAUUGAUAUCUCUGACAUCUUAGAAUCGUAUGUUCCACUUCUUUGCUCAUUUCAAAUUGAUUUUGAUGUUUACAUUGUCUUUACAUCCGUGGUAUGCCAUGUUUUAGGCAUCUGACAAGGGAGAAAUAGAUGUGAAAUACUCCGAAAGUUAAUUUCAAAAUUCCACCAAAACAGUCAGGUAGGAGAUGAAGCUAUAUAUGUAUCCAUUUAAGGGGUCAUGCAUUUAGUAACAUCUUGGGAUGGUUUUAUUCAAAAUUAUAAAUAUCUUUAAUCUAAUGUAUCAUUUCUCAUUCGCACAUUGAUCUCUCUGACAUCUUAGAAUCGUAUGUUCCACUUCUUUGCUCAUUUCAAAUUGAUUUUGAUGUUUACAUUGUCUUUACAUCCUUGGUAUGCCAUGUUUUAGGCGUCUGACAAGGGAGAAAUAGUUGUGAACUAAGAAUUAUGAAGGUUGUAUAUGCUAUUGUUUUUGGAAUGGUGUGAAGCCCAAAAGUGGAAGACAAUCAUUAAACUAGGAUGGAGGGAAUGCUUAUUAAAUUUUAUCAAGACCUGCUAUGGACUGCAACUGCUAAUGAUGGAAUUUUACUAAGGAGUUGAGUUUGAUUUGUUUGAGAUGCCCGAAACUGUACUCACUUAGAGUUUAUCAUAUUUAAACAUUCCCUGCCUUAAUAUCCCGCUCGAAAGAAGCCAAUCAUUCUUCUAUUUCUGUGUGUGUACAUUGCUGUGGGUGAUAUUCAUAUUGGUACAUAUUCUCAUGUCUUACUUCUAACUCUUUCUUUGAUCUGAUUUCCAUAUGGAAAUCCAAACAUCAAUGUGAUCUGAUCAAUGAUUAUAAUUCAGAUAGCAGAGGAUUAUUCUCACUGUGAGUUUGUAAUUCGCCUGCCAGGAUAUUGCCCAAGUAUGUAAUUUCCAUGUCUCAUAUUUGAUUCAGCUUGAGUUUACCAUGUUUCUUUUCUUAUUUCGCUCUGAUUUGGUUUUAGAGUCAAUAUUCAACAUUUUAAAUAGUUGUGCUGUUCUCAACAUACUAAUUUUGGGUUUUUAUUUUCCAUUUCUCAUAGAGCUAUUUUGAUUGUUUACAAAACACUAAAUUCCUUGCAGUGCCUGCUUUCCGUGAUGUAAUUGAUGUUCCUCUUGUCGUGAGAAGGUUACACAAAACUCGAGAACAGGUGACUGACAACCCUAAGUCGUCCUCUUGACAUGUUCUGAUUUUUCAAGUGAUUAAUAUUUAUUGCGAUACAGGUUCGGAAAGAGCUUGGAAUUCUAGACAGCCAAAAAGUCCUUAUUUAUAACUUUGGUGGACAGGUAGCUGCCACAUUUUCAUGAUGUAAUGCUAAAUUUCGUUUGAUAUAUUUUCUUGCCAGAGACUACUCUUCUCAAAUUUCUCAACCUAGCAACUCAAGCUUUAUUUUUUUAAUUUUUUUUUGCGAGUAACAACUCAAGUUCUAUUUUUCUAUCAGUGAAUACUUGGAAGAUUGGUUUUGAGACCUUUGAAUUAUAGAUUUCACAUUAGGUCCUGCUGUCAUUUCAUGAUCAAGUGGUGGUGGUCUAGUCUAAUUAAUAUAUCUAGCAUUUGAUUAUGGGAAUAAGUGAGUGGGAAUAGAAGAUGUUUCUAUUGAGAAAAAUGCACCUGGAGGUUCAGUAACAUAUAAAGGUAUUUUUAGUAGAUGUCAUGUGAUUUUUUUGUGCACUUAAUAACAACUUUAUAUACAUUUAACUUGCAGCCUGCUGGAUGGAAGUUGAAAAAGGAAUAUCUACCUGAAGGAUGGAUAUGCUUGGUUAGUUUUAUAAUCUUCUGUUCAAUUUCUACUUUGCUCAUUCUAGUUGCAUUUGACAUCUGCUAGCGCUUCACGCAAAACUAUGGUCUUUGUUGCUGGUAAAGGUCUGUGGUGCUUCUGAAGAUCAUGAGGUGCCUUCCAACUUUGUAAAACUCCCUAAAGACUUUUACACUCCUGAUGCUAUUGCAGCUUCAGAUGUCAUGCUUGGUAUGGUAUCUUAAAGCUCUAUAAGAUUGAAAACAUUAUUCUCAGCGUAUGACUACACUUAAAAUCAAGCAUGUACUUUUAUCAGGUAAAAUAGGAUAUGGCACAACAAGUGAAGCCUUGGCAUACAAGGUACCGCUUGUCUUUGUACGCAGAGAUUAUUUUAAUGAGGAACCGUUUCUGAGGAAUAUGAUUGAGGUAUGUGGCAUUGGCUAUUUCUUUAUUAUUGAUAUACCUCUGAUUUACUCAAAAAGUAAAGCUCAUGUGUGAAUAUGCAACACAGCAUUACCAAGCUGGUGUAGAGAUGAUUAGGAGGGAUUUGCUCACUGGACACUGGGCUCCCUAUAUUCAACGAGCUGUUGCACUGAAACCAUCCUAUGACGGAGGAGUCAAUGGCGGCGAGGUACCUUUGCUUUCUGAAUGAUUAUUCUCGCAACACAGGGCAUGUGAUGAAAACAGCUCUUUUUGGACUAUAGUUAGUAAAUAUUGAUAGAAAAACACUUGAGUAACCCAUGUUAUAAAAAACCAACCAAGCGAGCUUCCAUAAAUGCUGGAUAUAAUAAAAACAAACUUUAUUAGAAGAAACCAGUGCCAGCAUACUCUUCAAAGAUGGAUGUCAGUCCCCUAAAAGCAUCUGAGUGUUCUUGCUAUGAACUUAAACCGGGGAGUAUUUAUGUCACGACCCAAAAUCCUAACCUGUCAUGAUGGCGCCUAGCGUGGUACUAGGCAAGCUGACAUUUCAAAAAUAUUUCCAACACUUCUAACAUAAAAUGAGCUAGAGCAGUUUAAAUAAUAAAAAUUCUCAUAAUCAGGAUAGAAACCCAACACACACAGAAGUUCCCAAAAAAUCAGGGUAUCACAAAGUACAUGAGCGUCUAUGCAACACAAGUCUGGGAGCAUUGUCUAAAAUAGUCUGAAACUAAAUGCAUAAAGUGGUAAGAUAGGGAAGGAGAGACAAGGUCUACGAAAUGUCGGGCAGCUACCUCGAAAUCUCCAAACGAUCAACUGUGCAAAAGAAUCAAUACCCACCGUGUUCGGAAACACCUGGAUCUGCACACGAAGUACAGGAUGUAGCGUGAGUACAACCAACUCAGUAAGUAACAAGACCAAAUAAAGGACUGAAAGUAGUGGCGAGCUUCACAUUUAUAGUUUGUGAGAAUGCACGGGAGAAAAAUAUUAUUGAGAUAUUAUUAUUUCAAUACUACAAUGAUCCNNNNNNNNNNNNNNNNNNNNNNNNNNNNNNNNNNNNNNNNNNNNNNNNNNNNNNNNNNNNNNNNNNNNNNNNNNNNNNNNNNNNNNNNNNNNNNNNNNNNNNNNNNNNNNNNNNNNNNNNNNNNNNNNNNNNNNNNNNNNNNNNNUAGUUCUCUCAUGGAACACUGGAUUUGAUGCAAUAUGAAGAGCAACUUGAUUAUCACACACAAGUCCCAUCUGACUAAUCUCACCGAAUUUCAACUCCUUUAGUAACUGUUUUAUCCAAAUUAACUCACAUGUUACCAUAGCCAUUGCUCGAUAUUUUGCUUCUGCACUAGACCGAGCAACUACAUUCUGUUUCUUGCUUUUCCAGGACACAAAAUUUCCUCCUACUAACACACAAUAUCCGGACGUAGAACAUCUAUCAGACGGUGAUCCUGCCCAAUCAGCAUCUGAGUAUCCAACGAUUCGCUCAUGGCUGUGAUCCUAAACAAUAACCCUUUGCCUGGAGCUUAUUUUAUGUACCGAAGAAUGCGAACAACUGCAUCUCAAUGACUAUCACACGGAGAACCCAUAAACUGGCUCACAACACUCACAGGAAAGGAAAUGUCAGGUUUUGUCACUGUAAGAUAAUUUAAUUUACCAACUAACCGCCUAUAUCUUGCAGGAUCGUUAAGAGGCUCCCUCUGUCCUGGAAGAAGUAUAGCAUUCGGAUCCAUCGGAGUGUCAACAGGUUUACAACCUGUCGUUCCUGUCUCCUCAAGAAUAUCUAAGGCAUACUUCCGUUGUGAGAUCACAGUAUAGAAGUUUAGAAUUCGGAUCCAUCAAAGUAUCAACAGGUCUAUAACCUGUCAUUCCUGUCUCCUCAAGAAUAUCUAAGGCAUACUUUCAUUGUGAGACCACAAUACCUGAGCUAGACUGAGCGACCUCAAUACCCUGAAAAUAUUUUCGUUUGCCCAGAUCCUUAGUCUGAAAAUGUUGAAAGAGAUGUUGCUUCAAUUUAGCAAUACCAUCCUGGUCAUUGUCGGUAAUAACAAUGUCGUCAACAUUAACCACCAGAUAAAUACAGAGACUCGAAGCAGAAUGCCGAGAGUACACAGAGUGAUCAGCUUCACUCUGAAUCAUGCCAAAUUCCUGGAUAACUGUGUUGAACUUACCAAACCAGGCUCGAGGAGACUACUUUAGACCAUAAAGUAACCGGCGCAAGCGACAUACAAGGCCACGAGACUCAUCCUGAGCAACAAACCCAGGUGGUUGCUCCAUAUAAACUUCAUCCUCAAGGUCACCGUGUAAAAAUGCAUUUUUAAUAUCCAGCUGAUACAGGGGCNNNNNNNNNNNNNNNNNNUUGAGCAACAAACCUAGGUGGUUGCUCCAUAUAAACUUCAUCCGCAAGGUCACCGUGUAAAAAGGCAUUUUUAAUGUCCAGCUGAUAGAGGGUCUAAUGGCGAAUAGCAGCCAUGGAGAGAAACAGGCGGACUGAAGCUACCUUAGCCACGGGAGAGAAGGUAUCACUGUAAUCGAGCCCAAAUAUCNNNNNNNNNNNNNNNNNNNNNNNNNNNNNNNNNNNNNNNNNNNAAAUGAAAAGGUAUCACUGUAAUCGAGCCCAAAUAUCUGAGUAUAUCCCUUGGCAACAAGACGAGCCUUAAUACGAUCAACCUUACCAUCCGGACCAGCCUUGACUGCAUACACCCAACGACAACCAACAGUAGAUUUACCUGAAGGAAGAGAGACAAGCUCCCAAGUACCACUCGUGUAUAAAGCAGACAUCUCGUCAAUCAUAGCCUGUCGCCAUCCUGGAUGAGAUAACGCAUCACCUGUAGACUUAGGAAUGGAAACAGAGGACAAAGAAGAUAGAAAAGCAUAAUAAUGUGAUGACAAACGAUGAUAACUCAGACCGACAUAAUAGGGAUUAGGAUUAAGUAUGGUCCGUUUACCUUUUCGAAGUGCAAUCGGUGGACUAGGAAGAGACAAGUCCGCAGUAGGAGCAUGGUCAGGUGCAGGACGUGAAUCAACCGGGCCGGAUGCUGGGCGAGGACGACGAUGAUAUGUCAAGAAAGGAGUGUCUUGUGCAGGGAGUCUAGGAGGAGCCACAGUAGACGUUCCAACGUUUGGAAUGGGUAAGACUUCUGUAGUGGAAGGUGAAUGAGGAGAUAUAGUAGACUCCCUAAAGGCCGAUAUAGGUAAAACCUCAGAUAUAUCAAGAUGGUCAGAAGAGGUAAAGAAAGGUGGUAGUGGAAGGUAAAGGAGAAUCUAUAGUACGCUCCGUAAAGGUCGGUAUAGGUGAGAUCGCAGAUAUAUCAGGGAGGUCAGAAUGGUUAGAAGGGGUAAAGAAAGGUUUAGACUAAAAAAUGUGACAUCAGAGGACAUAAAGUACCUACAAAGAUCAGGUGAGUAACAACGAUAUCCCUUUUGAACACGGGAAUAACCAAGGAAGACACACUUGAGAGCACGAGGGGCUAACUUAUCUUUUCCAAGGGCUAAGUUAUGAACGAAACAAGUGCUCCCAAAAACACGAGGGGGAACAGAGUAUAAGGGUUAUUGGGGAAACAAUAUGGCGUACGUUUUCUGAUUCUGUAUGGGAGAGGAAGGCAUCCGAUUAACUAAAUAACAAGCUGUGAGAACUGCAUCGCCCCAAAAGCGCAACGGAGCAUGAGACUCAAUGAGAAGCGUGCGAGCAGUCUCAAUGAUGUGCCUAUGCUUUCUCUCGGCAACCCCAUUUUGCUGAGGGGUAUAAGGACAAGAGGUCUGAUGAAUAAUUCCUUAAGAAGUCAUAAACUGCUGAAAUGAAAAGGAUAAAUAUUCUAAGGCAUUAUUACUGCGAAAAGUACGAAUAGAAACACCGAAUUGAUUUUUAAUUUCAGCACAAAAAUUAUGGAAAAUAGAAAACAACUCAGAACGAUCUUUCAAAGUACAUCUGGAAUGAUCUAUGACUCACACUAUAAUGUGGAUAAACUAGACAACUAGGUACCAUCUUCUGAAGCUUGGUUAAGCUUGGGUGUCCUAAACGUCUGUGGAUUAGGUCCGGAGGAUCCGUAACUAGACAUGCCUUGGGGGAUUUUAGCGAGUUAAGGUAGUAAUGAAGCUAGGACAAGCUAGGACGUCCUAAACGACUGUGAAGUAGGUCUGGAGGAUCUGCAACUAGACAGGCAUUGGAGGAUGUUAGUGAGUUAAGGCAGUAGAGUCCUUCUGAUUCAAGUCCUGUUCCAAUCGUCUGUCACGUACUGCGGUCAUGCAUAAUAAAGGAAUCAUCAAUAAAAUAUAUACCGCAAAGAAGGGCACGAGUCAAACGACUAACAGAUGCAAGAUUAAAAGGACAGCCAGGUUCAUAGAGAACGGAAUCUAGAGUGACAGAGGGUAGGGGAGUUGCUUGUCAAACUCCUUUUGCUUUGGUUUGAGACUCAUUGGCUAAAGUAACAGUAGGAAGGGACUGUGAAUACGCAAUAUUUGACAAAAGUGAUUUAUUACCAGAGAUAUGAUCAGAAGCCGCUGAGUUCACAACCCAUUGUCCAAGAGUACUAGACUGGAAACACAAGCAAAAGAAUUACCAGUAACAGAAGUAUCAGUCUGAGCAGCAGAAGCUACUUGUGGAGAUUUCUGCUUACGUGUCCGAUACUGAAGGAACUCAUUAUACUCCCCUUCAGAUAAAGAAAACUCUUGGUUACCUGCUGAGCAACAGAAGCUACUUGAGGAGAUUUCUGCUUACUUGCCUGAUACUGAAGUAACUCAUUAUACUCCCUUUCAGAUAAAGAAAAACUCUGGUUACCUGUAGUCUCUGUCUGAGCAACAUAAGCAUUUUUGGUGGUCGGCCAUAUAAAGAAUAACACAUGUCACGAGUGUGUCCAAGUUUAUGACAAUAAGAGCACUUGGGUCUAGAUCUUCCAAAACGACCUCCUCCGCGUCUAUUCUCCAUAGUAGGAGAUGCCUGAUUGUCCACUGACUGGGAUACAAGGACAGAUGAAUCAAGUGUCUGUGAUGAGCUCAUUAGGUGACUUGGUGCUGCAGCAACGCGAAGUAAUCGAGAAAAUAGUUCAUCAACUGUGGGGACAACCGGACUAGCCAAAAUUUGGUCACGUACUGAAUCAACUGGACGGAACAAGGGCAUCAACUUGGAAUCAAUAGAUCGCCACAAGAUAUUACAUAGCUGAGCAUCGACCUUUUCCCACUGUGUUUUGGCCUUUUCAUCACCUUCGAUAGCCCUUUUUGUUAAAUAAUCGUGAACUCCUUGACCUUUACACCACAACUCGACAGACGAAGCCCAAGCUAGGUAGUUUUAACCUCCCAUUAAGGGUUCUGAGGUAAUCAUAACACCGGAAUUGCCAGAACCCGGGUUUCUAGACCCGAAAGCAUCGAGUUCCAAAGACAUCGUUGGAUUAUCACCAAAUAAUCAGAAAGAACCAACUGAAAACUUCUGAAACAGAUGAAGGAAACACUGUAGCUGCCGGAAAAUCACUGUAGCUACCGGAGAAAAUUCAAGGUUGUCGGAAUUGUAAAAUAAAAAUAUGGGUAGGAUCAGACUGUCCUGAAAUUUUUUUUUGAAAUUCUGGCCGGAAGGUGGCUCACGCGCCGGCAGGCGUGUGGCGGCGCGUGGGGGGUGCUUUUCCGGUGAUUUUUUCUGGGGUUGGUCGGAAUUCUCUUCUGAAUCUUGUGUUGGUCUCGGAUUUUGCACAAUACUAAUAAUUAGUGACUUUGACGCGAUUAGUCACUUAGGUCAAACCUUGUGGUUGUGUUAGAUUUUGCACAACAUUGAUAAUUAGUGAUUUUGAUACAAUUAGUCACUUAGGUCACCGAAAAAUUUCACGGUGACUGAGUUCUUUCUUUCCGGAAAUCGCUGGAAUGAUGCACAACGAUAAAUUUCUCAUGGUUGCUCUGAUACCAUGUGAGAAUGCACGGGAGAAAAAUAUUAUUGAGAUAUUAUUAUUUCAAUACUACAAUGAUCCCUAUAUAUAUAUAUAUAUGUAUAUAUAUAUAAACACAUUACAUAUCCUAAUCCUAAUUCAUAUAGGAUUAGGGUGAUUCACUCCUAUUUUACACUAUUAUUCUAACAUAGUUUAAUGUAAUUUCAACAUAGAAAGGUAGGCAUAGUUCGACAAUUUAGAUCAAAUCGGUUAAUUCGUGUCAAGUUCAAGUGAAACAGAAUAUAAUAUCUCUCAGAAAUUUCAAGACAGUAAUAUGUGACAGCUAAGUGCAACAAUAUUGAAGUCAAAUGCAUCCUCUCAAAGCAACAGUCACUCAGUCCUCCCAUUUAUUCCAACCUCACAAUAACUCAUUCCUCACGGUCACUCAUUCCUCUUAGUCGUUCGACACUUACACUCAGUAGGUACCUGCGGUCACUGGGUGUGUACAGACUCUAGAGGCACUUCUUUAUCACAAGCACUAUAAUAAGCCAAUCAUGUUAUAAAUCAAUGAAACAUGCUACGGUGUGCAGCCCGAUCCCAUAAAUAUUCUCACAAUCAGGCCCUCGGCCUCACUCAGUCAUCAACCUCUUCGAUCUCUCGGUCUCUUAGUGAUCAUGAAAAUCAGCCCAAGCAGCAAUGAUAUGGUGUAUCAACAAGGAACAAUAGAGACCAAGAUAUGAUAUGCAAGUAAAACUGAGACUGAGUACAAAAAGCAAUUUAGCAGAUAAUUUAUCAUAUACACGACCUUGGAGGGUCCUUACAUUACCAACACAUGCCCUAAACAUGACUUUUAACAUAAUUUGCAGCUUAAUUUUAUGCCACACGGAGAAUAUAAGGAUGACAACAGAUUGUCCAACUAUACAGUUCCAUGGGAUGGAUCAACUCACAAUUCCUACGGUGCAUGCCCGUCACCUAGCAUGUGCACUACCUCCAAAACCAAACACAUGACACAUAAUACGGGGUAUCAUACCCUCAGAACCAAAUUUGAACUGUUACUUACCUUAAUCCGAGCAAAUUUCUACUCCAACACAUCUUUGCCUCGCAAAUUAGCCUUCAAACGCCUCGAAUCUAGCCAUAAACAAUUCGAUUUAUUCAACACGGGAUAAAGGAAUCAAUUCCAUAAGAAAGUACGAAGUUAUUAAUCAAAAGUCAAAAGUCGACUCCAAAGCCUGCCUCCGGACCCACGUUUCAAAAUUCGACAAAAGGCACAAAACUCGAAAGCCCAUUCAACCACGAGUCCUACCACACCAAAUUUCCCAAAAUCCGACACCCAAUCGCCACCCAAAUCCCCAAAUCAAACUCUCCAAAUCCCUAGCCUCAAAUACCCAAAUUUCACCUUAAAAACACAGAAACUAGGUGGAAAAUUCUAUGGGGAAACAAGAUUAUUGAUUAAAAAUGAGUACACGUGACUUACCUCAAGAACUCCCCCGAAAUCCUCUUAAGAAUCGCCAAAACCUGCGCUUGCAAUGUUUAAAAUGGUGAAAAAUCUCGGAACCCUCAUUUAUAAGACGCUGCCCAGGAUUUUCGCACCUACGGCCAAAUAACCGCAUCUUCGAAGCCGUUUUUGUGGUAAAAUUCUACGCUUCUGCAGAAAUUACUUAAAUCCCCAGGCCUGCAUAACUGCACCUGCGGAGGCGCUUUUGUGGCCCUCUAUCUGCUUCUGCGGCCCCCAGGACCUCAACCAAACAUGUCAACAAGUCCUAAAACACGAUACGAACUUAGUCGAGCCCUCAAAUCAUCUCAAACAACAUCAAAAAGACGAAUCCCACCCCAAUUCAAGCCUAUUGAAACUAAGGAAUUCCAACUUCUACAAACGACGCCGAAACCAAUCAAAUCACAUCCGAUUGACCUCAAAUUUUGCACACAAGUCACAAAUGACACCACGGACCUGCUUUAACUUCCAGAACUCCAAUCCAACCUCGAUAUCAAAAAGUCCACUUCCGGUCAAACUUUCCAAAAAUCUAACUUUCGCCAUUUCAAACCUAAUUCAACUACGGACCUCCAAAUCACAAUCUGGACACGCUCCUAAGUCCAAAAUCACCCAACGGAGCUAACAGAACCAUCAAAACCCCAUUCCAAAGUCGUUUACACAUAAAUCAACAUCUAGUCAACCAUUUCAACUUAAGCUUUCAACCUUGAGACCAAGUGUCUCAAUUCAUUCCGAAAUCCCUCCGGAACCGAACCGACUAACUCGGCAAGUCACAUAACAGCUAUAAAGCACAAUAUGAGCAGUAAAUGAGGGAACGGGGCUACAACUCUCAAGACGACCGGCCUGGUCGUUACAUUUAUUUCUGUCCAUUUCAAGGUGUAGCUUUAUAACCACUAAAACAGAUAGGCGCCAUAUUUAAAAUCAUUAUCAAUAACUCAUAAAACAUUACUUGGAUACUUCAAUAAAAUGUUGAUGAUUCAUAAAUGCUACAUUUUUUUAUUCUUAAUAACAAGAGAGAGAUAGCCUAGUGGUAAGGAUUCUCCACCUCCAAGUAAGCUGGGAUCCGAGUAGCAAAGCCGGAAACAAUCAUUGUGGAGCUCCUGGGGUAGGGGUUUGGGGAGCUGAUAUUUACCAUAUUAAAAAGAGAAAACAUUUAUCUAUAUGCUUGAUAGGGCUCUUUAAAAUCCAAAGGCAAGUUUGCAAAGGUUUACGAUAUAAAAAACAUUUAUCUAUAUGCUUGAUAGCGCCCUUCAAAAGCCAAAGGCAAGUUCCCAAGAGAUACCUAAAAAUCAAAGCUGAUUUGUCAAGUGUAAAUAUAACCUCGCAUCGUUCUGUUAGUUUUUUUCAAUUUGUUUUUUCCAAUAUGUUUUCUGAUGAAUAUAAGGGAACUAACUAUACAAAAAAUAUUACCACUGCACCUGACAUCCAUGUUUGUAUGUUAAGUUGAAUUAUUAUGCACUUCCUGAAAGAUACAGAUUAUGAUCGAAUAUGCAUGUCUAUUAGUUUAUUUAAGCACUGUACAUUAUGAAUGGCAUAAGCACUGUAUUGAAUGACAGAUUAUGCUCGAAUAUGCAUGUAAUGUAGAAGCUAGUUUCUUGAGCAGCAAUAGUCUUUAUAGUUCAGGAGAUACAUUGGGCACCAUCAAGUUACUUAAAAGAUGUUAGGCAAAAGUUUCACAUUGCAGCCCUUUGCAGAGAUAUUCUCUGAGAAAACUUUUGCUUCUUUUGUGUCAUGUCUUAAACCCUAAUAGCUGUUAAAGGGUCACCAGCUAUGAUCUCUUAGUUCAUUGCACAGUUUUCAUCUCUAAGAUUUCCAAGUCCCCAGGAAAAUGCUUGAAAAUCUCCACUUGACGUCUCUCAGAAGCACAUACAGAGCAGACAGCUGGAUAGUAGCCUUUUUUAUUGUCCCCAGAAGUUGCAUAAGCAUAGAUUGUACCUGAAUUCUAUUGAAAGAGUAAAAUAACAUCCUUUUAAAAAAAAAAAGAUUAAAAAAUAAAAAGAAGGCAUAUUUCUUUGAGUUCAGUGUAUAUUCUUAUCCAGUAAAGUUUCCUUUUUCCUAAUGGAGUUGUUCAUCUUUGUGGUUCUAAAGAAAUAAUAUUAUCUUGCUAUUUGAUUCUUCUUCAUCUAUUGCCUCAUGGAUCUUAGGUGGCUGCUAGACUACUACAAGAUACAGCUUUGGGACAAUAUCACGCUUCACAUGGGGUACGAUUCAUCAAAAUUCAUCUUCUUCUAUCUUUAUCUUAAGACGUGCUCAACUUUUGGGCCACUAUUGGGUUCCCGGGAAGGGGGGGUGGGGGGUUUGCGCGUGGGGUUUUACCAAAUCAAAAGAUGAUGUAGGGUAUCUUGUUCUGGCGUAUAUGAACUUCUGCAGCUGUGUAAUAAUUUAUUAAACUUUAAAGAAUUACGUUAAUGUUACUACGUAAAAUCGACUCUAUCAUAUGAUAUUUAGCAACUUGGAGUACAUAUGAAAAAAUAUUGAGAUUUGAAAAUGCAUAACAGUGAACUGAUGUUAGGUCUUCUUAUUGGAUAUAAACAGGAUAUUCACGAAAUCUGUAUAACAACAUCAUUUGCUUUACUGGUAACUUGUAUAUGUAACUUUCAUUUCAGCUUAGUGGAGCACGGAGGCUGGGAGACGCUAUAGUCCUUGGGUAUCAGCUUCAAAGGAUUAUAGGGAAAGAUAUAUCUAUCCCUGCAUGGUAUUCGCUUGCACAAAAUGAACUUAGUUCACGUUCUCAAUUGCCAAAUAAGGAAGUUGCUGAUAAUAGCAGUCCUACAAAAGAGUAAAUUCUUUAAUUCCUACCUUCUUGUCUUUAUAUAUAAUCUAUUAUGUCCUACAGCCACUUUUAGGCAUGUUUCUUAUCAAAUAUUCACCUAAAUUACUUUGCAGAAAUGAUUACUUUGCAAUUCUUCAUGGAGAUCAUCAAGGACUCCCAGAUACACUUGGUUUCUUGAAGAGCUUGGCUGAAAUACAGUCCUCAUGUAGUCCUCAAAAUAAUAAUAAGUUCCAAACACGCGAACAUCUGGCUGCUGCUGCAAUGUUCAACUGGGAGGUAUAUCUCUUUCACUGAUUCAGUGUACAAUCUUUUUUCCGUCAUGGGUUCACAGGUUUCUCCGCAAUAUGUUGUUUAUAAAUCUGAUAAUAAUACAUAAUAAGAAGGAAAUCUUCACAUGAUUAACAUUUUGAAAUAAGUCAACGAGAAAGGGAUAAAAACUGAUGAAGGAAAUUUUUUCCAAGUGUUCAUCCAUAUGAAUUGCAGGUCUUCACAACUUGUGAUAUUGAUUCGUUUACCACAGAUAAUACAUUUAUCUUGUAACGGUACUUAUGUGUAAAGGUGCAAUCAAACUUGAGAAGACUUACAGAAUUACCAGAUUUCAGGCUAGUCUAUUGGUAAAUGUGCCCAGCUUAUACAUGUGUUAGAACCUUGAACGGGAGAAAGCAUCAUUUUUUUGUUUGUUAAUGGAGGUCUGCAUCACCAUGUUAUUUUGAAUUGAGAUCCUAGCCUCUAGAUUCUCUUGCUGUUGCAUAUCUUGAGAACGGGAAAUAUGACAAUAUUUCCGGUAAUGUAGGAAGAGAUUUUUGUUUCAAGAGCACCGGGAAGAUUGGACGUAAUGGGAGGAAUUGCUGACUAUUCUGGUAGUUUAGUUCUACAGGUAAAGUUCCUUUUUCCUUGUUGCAUGUUUAUGCUUGGGGAGUGAAAAGAAUGGACCUUGGGCCUAACUCAACCCCAAAAGCUAGCUUAUGAGGUGAGGAUUGCUCAAGCCAUAUAAGGAGACCAAGGACCUCAAAUCCCUCUGAUGUGGGACAACUCAACCGGGAGUAUUUUUGCUGGUCUUACAUUGUGACUUGUUGAUUGCAUGCCUUGCCUCCUAUAAAAGCUCUAACUCUUGUACCCGUUCAUACUUGAAUAUCUUCACCUACUUCCUCACUAGUGAGCUGCAUUGUAUUUUCUUGCUCAAUGUGGUCAAAUAUUCAAAUAAUUAAUGUUUGCCUGAGCUAGAACAUUCUGGUUCCUUUCCACACUGUUAAAGUGUGUUUUCCACUUUUCCUCAUAUAAACUGUGUCUCAAUAUAGGAAGUAUUUUUUAUUCAUCAUCAUGUUAGAUCAUUGCUGUCUAUUAACGAUAUCUUGUCAACAUUUUCUUCCACAGAUGCCAACCCGGGAGGCAUGCCAUGUCGCAAUCCAGAGAAAUCAUCCAAGCAAGCAAAAAUUGUGGAAACAUGCUCAGGCUAGACAGCCCAAGGACGGGCGUACUGCUGUUCUUCAAAUUGUAUGAAUCAUUGACUCUUUCGAUAUCUGCACGGCAUGAGAUAUAUUGCGUUAUUAGGAAAAUAUAACCAUCUGAAUUCCUUAAUUGAUUGUUUUAAAUGCUGUGGCUGUGACUGCUAGACAAUGGUCUAUUAAAUAAUUGCAAAAACAUAGCUCUGCUAUCAGCAGGCAACAAUUUGUUUUUCUCGGGUUUAAGUUGGAAAAUAGGUUUCAUGUUUCGGCCAUGAUGAGAUACUUUUCAUUUAUGCAUAAUAUUAAAUUGGUAGUUUCUAUGCUUUGUGUCCGCCAAUCUCUUGACACCCUAUGAGUGCAAGUCCAGUGUUCACAAAUGUUCAUCAGUUGGAAAUUGGUGUAAAUAUUUUGGAGUAAUGCUAUAUGCUUCUCACAUAUAUUUGAAGAUAUGUUCUAAGUAGCUCUGGCAUAGACUAUUACAUUGACUGCUUUCAGUUUUUGGCAUGUUCCAACACAGGUAAGACAAGUUUGUAUCAAGGAAAAUAAAGAGGAUGGUAACAUAUGACAGAGAUAUGAAUUAUAUUUAUCUAGGCAUGUCACUAGGAGUAGGGUUUGUUUGUCCUUCUAUCUAUUGUUUUGUUCAUCAAACUUGAGACUAAACUCAUGUUUUUUAACCCGAGUCACCUGACAUGCCAGGAAAACAUAAAAUCUUGCAAACAGACAUUAUUCUGAAAUGUGACUUUCAAUUGUCAAACACUAAAUGUGAUCAAAUGUGAAUUUCACAUGAUCCUUGGUUUCCAGCGCAUUCAUGUCUUAUGGUGCAGUUAGCUAUCUUCACGUUGUUGGGAAAGAUUUAUACAUACAUUCUCUUCAAAGUCAUUUUAGUUUAACAGACACUGUUUCAUGUCUUCUUAGGCACUAUUUAAGGUUAAAGAAGUAGUAUUAUUGGUGCUGUGCUUUUAUCAUUUUUGCCCCCUCUCCAAAGGAGAACUACCCAUAUUGAUAGUCUGAUAUCUGCAUAACAUUUCUUCACCAAUGAUACAUCACAUUGUAUGAAGUUUGUCGAAAUCUCUGUAUUAGAGUUAUGUGUGGUUUCCAAGUUACUGGUGUUGAGCUACUUACCUGUUUGCCCAGCAUUAUCUUUCUCUUUAGUACAAUAACGUACAAAUUUCGGAUUUUAAUCCAUGUAACAUUAAUUCAUGAAUAUCCUCAAACCAACUGUCAGUGUCUCUAUUACUCGUGCAAGAAGCAUUAUCUAUCUAGUUUCUUUUCAUUCGAUAACUUGAAAUUAUCACUCUUUUGUUCUUUUUUCUUUCCUUUUAUCAUAUUUUGAUGCUCUGAGCGAAAAUGAGGAGGUAUAUGAAUGGGCGUAACUUAAAUACGCAUUUGGGAAGUCAAAAGGUUUCUAUUCAUUAGCGUACAUAUCCGGGAAGCAAGGGAAGCUUGUUUAACUCAGGAAAACCUGCAAAAGAGAGGAAUUAUUCUAAGUAACAGAUGCUAUAUAUGUGAAGAAGAUUUAGGAACUGUUGAUCAUCUCUUGUUUCAUUGCAAGUGGCAAGUCAAUGGUAGCAGCUCUCUCUAAAUAUGUAUGGAGUUAGAAGGGUAAUGCUCCCAAAUAUGACACUGGAACCUGUAUUUCUGAUACACAAGAAAUGUUAUGGAAAAUUUGGAACACUAUAUGGAUUUUCUAGAGGAGUCGGGUGAUAUGUAGGAAGAAGAUCUGUUUGUGUUAGUAGCUGGCCGGUUGUAUAUGUACCAUCUUGGUACCUUUAUUAAUAAAAUAUGACCUUAUAAAAAAAACUAUAAAACUCGAGCAAACAAAUUUUCUUAGCUUGCUAGCAUUUUAACCUCUUUUGUGGUACUUUUGACACCAUUUGCCUGCUACAACAUCUAAUUGUCUACUUAGCUCAUGAAAGUUUGUGACUUACUGUUGAUAAAUCCAAAUCCAGGUAUCAUUUGGCUCAGAAUUAGGUAAUCGUGGACCAACUUUUGAUAUGGAUCUUUCUGAUUUUGUGGAGGAUGGGCAGCCAAUUACAUAUGAGAAAGCGUACAAUUAUUUUGCCCGAGACCCAGCCCAGAAGCAAGUGAACUGUUGUAUUUUCAUUCUUUCGUUUUUAAUUAGAUGCUACCAGUUUGUAAAUAUGAAGCAUCGAUGUAGGUGGGCAGCAUAUGUUGCUGGGACAAUUCUGGUACUGAUGACUGAAUUAGGCAUCCGUUUUGAGGAUAGUAUUAGCAUUCUGGUAAGCCUUUCAGGGGUUCAUAGCUUCUGCAAAUUUUUAUUGCAAGUCUUCUACAUCUAUUUGAAUGAAACUAAGAAGGUGCACUAGUUGUUCUUUGAAGCAUGUUUCCAGUGAUGAAAAAGGAAAUGGUUACUGUCUUCUGAUGCGCUGUUUUUAGAAAUUCAUUAUUUAUGGUUCUUAUGUUUAGAUAAUUAUUUACGCUAUUUAUGCUGGAGUUACUAAUGCUCNNNNNNNNNNNNNNNNNNNNNNNNNNNNNNNNNNNNNNNNNNNNNNNNNNNNNNNNNNNNNNNNNNNNNNNNNNNNNNNNNNNNNNNNNNNNNNNNNNNNNNNNNNNNNNNNNNNNNNNNNNNNNNNNNNNNNNNNNNNNNNNNNNNNNNNNNNNNNNNNNNNNNNNNNNNNNNNNNNNNNNNNNNNNNNNNNNNNNNNNNNNNNUCUGCCCUUUCGGGUAGGGGUAAGGCCCGUCUACAUAUUACCCUCCCCAGACCCCACUUUGUGGGACUAUACUGGGUAGUUGUUGUUGUUGUUGUAUUGUAUGAUGUAGGCCACUAGGAUUUGCAAAUAAAAUUAGAAUGGCCAAACGUGAAGCUAAUUCCUUACAUCUAGAUAGGGUGACUAUUUUGAACGGAGAAAAAUUACUUUCCAAAUUAAAGUUACUGUAAUCAGUUUACAGAUAUGUGAUACUUCAUUCCAUCAGCAUUAACAAACUUUCUGGAUCGGGCCAUUUUCUGUUCCAGUCACAAGUUAAAUGGAUGUAAAGAUUACCUUUUCUGUUUUAAACAUUUCAUUAGGCUUCUGUGGUUUAUCUUAACGCUUCCAUUCAUGUCAGACAUAAAUUAAUAAGGUCUUUUCAUACAGCUUUACUAGCCUCUUUCCUAUCUUUUCUGGUUCAUCUAACUAAAUAAGUUUUUUGAAAUAUCAAUUAACUGUUAACACAGGUAAGUUCUGGUGUUCCAGAGGGCAAAGGUGUAUCAUCUUCUGCUGCUAUAGAAGUUGCCAGUAUGACUGCUGUUGCUGCUGCUCAUGGUACUACAUUUAUCUGCAGAAUACCCUGCUCUACCACAACAACAAAUUUUUCCUUUAUAAUGAUUCUGAAUUUGUAUCCACAAACUAUACCAUUAUCUCAAAUACACUUAAUUGUCUGUCACAUCCUUUAUGAUUUUUCAGUAGUUACUUUGGGAAUUUGAUGAUCUCUGUCUCGGUGUCUCCUACAACUUUUAUCCAUUUUGUUUCACAUGCCUAUAUUGCAAAAUUGUUUAGAUUGAUGCUACAUUUGAACAAUGCGUGGGCAGUUAGCAAAAUUCUUGCAGUCCAUUAUUCUGCUUCCCAAAUUUGUGUAAAAGAUCCCAACUUUGAAAGAUCUGGCUGAUUUAAGUUGGAAGAAGUUGACACUUUCUGGUUUUCAUUUUUAUGUUAAAUGAAUACUGAAUUGUAAAAGUUUAUUUCCAUUUUGCAGGAUUGAACAUUGACCCCCGACAUCUGGCUCUACUUUGCCAGAAGGCACGUUGUUUUAUACUUACCUCGUUCUGUUCUUCCAAAUUAUUCGUUCUGAUUAUUGGAUUGGUAAAACCUCCCUUCCUAUAUCAAGCUUUAUUCUCCUCAAUAGGUGGAGAAUCAUAUUGUUGGAGCUCCUUGUGGCGUGAUGGAUCAGAUGGCUUCAACAUGUGGGGAGGCCGACAAGCUUCUCGCAAUGGUGUGUCAGGUAUGCAGCAAAUUUUUAUGCUAAGCAUUACAUAGUUACUGGGACUAACCGCGAUAUCAGAAUUAGCACUCACUUUUUCUUUUAGCCCGCUGAGGUUCUAGGACUUGUUGGCAUACCGCCCACCAUCCGAUUUUGGGGAAUUGAUUCUGGAAUACGACACAGGUAAAACUUCUCACUGAGUAUUUCCCUUUAACUGUCUCUCAUCUCCAUCAAAUUUGUUUGCAAUCUAACGUGAAGAUUACUGUCAGUUCAUGCCAUAGUUAAAACAUUGGUGGAACUUAUUUGAUGGAGAAAGUUCAGAAAUAGACGAAUUCAAGAAUGUUUUUCAUUGAGUUGAUCGAGAAUACUUUUGCUUUUUCUCAAGUUCGGAGCAAGAACAAAAAUAUAUCCAAAUGUUGGUUCAGUUCACAAUAGGUCCAACUGUUUUUUCAAGUUUACCAUGUAUCUUUCAAAAUUGAAAAAUUCCGACUGCAGUGUCCGCGAGGAGGUCUAAAACUAAAAUCACGCUUUCCCACCACUUAAGCUGGAGCGCAGUCCAGUUUCUCCGCCUAAUGAAUAAAUUUUCUACCAAAUUAGGAUGUAUGUUUUGGCCUUAUGUUCUAUGUUCUUUCCUUCCAGUACUUAUGAGAGUUUGCUGCAGUGUUGGUGGUUCAGACUACAAAUCUGUGAGAGUUGGUGCCUUUAUGGGGAGGAAGAUAAUAAAGUCUGCUGCAUCGGUGGAGUUACGCUCUUGCUUGUCAAACAUUUCAUCUUCCCAACAAAUCAAUGGGUUCAACCCUGAUGAAGCUGAUGAGGAUAGCAAGGAUUUACUUGAACUGGAAGCGUCCCUGGAUUACCUGUGCAACCUCUCACCUCAUAGGUUCGUUAUGGAUAUGUAGUUCGUAUUUCUGGCUUUUAUUCUCUCUUUUUUACUAACUAUGUUUGACAUAUAUUCUAAUUUCAGAUAUGAGGCGUCCUAUGCAACUAGACUUCCGGAAUCUUUAUCUGGCCAGGAAUUUGUGGAGAAGUAUCUCGAUCAUGAUGAUUCUGUAACAACAAUUGAUAAGGAGUGCAGUUAUGCUGUGAGAGCACCAACUAGGCAUCCCAUCUAUGAAAACUUCCGAGUCAAGGUCCAUAAUUUGAAAUUCCUUUUCAAAGCAUUUUCAUCUGAAUUAGAAGGUUUCUGAUCCUUUACAUCAGAUAAACUUUUUUAUCUCCUGUUGUAAUUAGAAUAUUCAUAUUCAUGAUGAGAACAAUUGAUUGACAUGUGUGUCAAUUGCUAUCAGGCUUUUAAAGCAUUAUUAUCAGCUGCACCUUCCAAUGAUCAACUAUCUGCUCUUGGAGAGUUAAUGUAUCAGGUAUAUGCUAUGCUUCAUGUUUUUCUGAUUGUUUUGGAGUGGAUUCUUUGCAAAUUGUUCUCUCAAUCUGCAUACCUCUACAGAGAUUUUCUGACAAAGUGUUUCUCUUACUGCAGUGUCAUUUCAGUUAUAGUGCUUGUGGGCUUGGGUCAAAUGGUACAGAUAGGCUGGUUAGCAUGGUACAAGAAAUGCAGCACUCCAAAUCAUCAAAAUUCGAAGGUGGGACUUUGUUUGGCGCAAAGAUUACCGGUGGAGGCUCUGGUGGAACAGUUUGUGUUAUCGGGAGGAACUGUUUAAGAAGCAAUGGACAACUUAUUGAGGUACCUUUCUACAGCUUUACAGAUAUAUACUCUUCUUGGAAAUAAUAGAAUAGCACCCUCUUUGCUCUUUUAUAGUUCAAAUUCUUUUUUUUUUUUUUUGACAUUAACGUUACAAAAUCUUUUAAUUGUUGGGCAGUAACGUCAUGAAAUCUUUUAAUUGUUGUGUUUCUAUCUGCCAGAUUCAACAAAGAUACAAAGCUGCCACUGGAUUCUUGCCAUACAUGUUUGAAGGCUCUUCGCCUGGAGCAGCAAAAUUUGGUCAUCUUCAAAUACGCCUCCGAUCCUCUUCUAAAGAGUAGUAUGAUUAAUAGCAGAUCUAGUAGUUGAAACUAGACAAAAAGAUGGAUAUUAAAAGUAAAUGCAGGAGUUUUGACACUGGAAAUUUGCAGAUUCUUGGGUAUCAAUAAUUCUAGGAUAAAUUUUCUUUCUUUUUCAACCCGUUAGAAACAAUAAUUGAUUUUGAGUAUUAAUCAUAAAGUAUAUUUAUUCAAGUUCAUGUUAUUCUUGUGCGCGAUAUAAUAAAAUUAAGCUAUCUUUUACCUCUUGCUAGUAUCUCUUUAGUAUAUUUUUCCACACUGGUUCAACUCUUCCUGAAAGUAAAUGAACUUGUAAAUGCCUAGACUUCCUAUCAUUUAUGUGUUUGUUACUACUGUAAAAAUUUAUCUUUUGUAGUUGAUUAGGUUGUAUUUGCAUUACAUCUUUUAAUAAUCUUGAGCAUUAGAUAUUUUGAACCAUCACAAGAGUAUUCAUCAGAAUUUCACUUUAUUCUUGUCCAUUUGGCCUCUUUAAGAACAACAAAAAACAUGAGAAAGGGGAUAACAUGAACUGAAACAAAAUUCUACACUAUUCACCUCAGCUACUGAAAUUUACUUCAUGAUUUUCCAUUAAGAGAUUGAGGGGAAAAUCAGAGAACAUUCUAAACCACUGUACAUUCGCUACAGCAUACAUAUUUUAAGGAUUUCAAUUUACAUUGAAAAUACUCUAAGAAACUUUUCGUGCAAAAGAACACGAAGAAAAUUUGGAUAAACUCUUGUAGCAAGCAUCAUACAGCUCUAUGGUUACCUAGGCUAGACCAGGUUCCCCUUUCAACAUGAGCUAACCCUUCUUGGACAGGUGCAAUCACACAAGGUGAUCAAGCACACUCAAAUCCGAGCUGUGUUCUUGUCAGAGAUUAGCGAUAGCUCCUGUUCAACCAAGGAAAGGUCCUUAUACCAAGAUCCUAGGUAGAGCUGCUUUGCAUGCUCUAUCGUGUAUAAAGGAUAGAAUAACCAAUAGUGGCAGAUUUCCACCAAGCUUGAGCAAUGAACACCUAAGCUAUAUAAGUAGAAUGGAACUUAAGCCACAGCUAAUUUACACAUUUCCCCCAUCUGAACUGCUACAAGCUUGAUUUUGGAGACUAUUCCCAAAAUCUCCAUCCAAGCUCAUUUGUUGAACUUCUUGUGGAGAGAGAAUCUUAAUGCAGCGUACACAGUUCACGAAUUCCCUGAAGUAUCAUAUGACACAUGUAAGUCAGUAUGCCUCGAAUAUGUACAAGGAAAAAGGAAUGGGGAAGGAUUGUAAAAACAGCUUUAGGCUACAUUGAUCAAGUCUCCACGGGACACAUGCAUAAUGGGAUAAAGGUUGUAUGGUUACAAGGCAGAUCAGUUGGAAGUCUUGGCUCCCAAGAGAGCGGCAUAUGCUGCUGGCAGGAAUUGAAAAUUGCAAAUACAAAAUUAGAGAGAAACAAAGUUCAAGAACUUACUCCCAAGGGUCAUCACCAACCAGAAGAACAUCAUUCUCAUGAUCCACAUACACAAGCUUCCAUCCUAUCCUUUGUCUGUCCUCCAGUUGUCCCUCUAUACCGAAUCUACGAGCUAAAUCUUGUUUAAGGUCUUCGUAGCCCGAGUAACGUGCGAUAUCGAUCGAUCUUCCAACAGCACCGCGCUUGUAUACCUUUGAGAGCAUAGAGGCAAAAAAGUUAGUACGCUUAAGUCUUAACUCAAACAUUAUACGAGAUAGCCCGAGUAACGUGCGAUAUCAAUCGAUCUUCCAACAGCACCGCGCUUGUAUACCUUUGAGAGCAUAGAGGCAAAAAAGUUAGUACGCUUAAGUCUUAACUCAAACAUUAUACGAGGUAGGACACAAAUUUGGUAAGUUAACCAACCUUGGUAUAUGUCCGCAAACGAGGUACUUGAGGUGGUGGGGCCCAGGCACCUCUAUUCAUGAAGCUGCCGUCAUUUAUGGUAGAAUCAAUUGAAUUGAAAGCCAUGUCAGGAACUCCAAAUGACUGGGUCAUUUAUGGUAGAAUCGAUUGAAUUGAAAGCCAUGUCAGGAACUCCAAAUGACUGGGAAACCAUUGAUGAAGAGAGUUCGGGCUGUGCUUCCUUGGGGUUCUCAUAGCUAGAAAGCAUGCCUCCUCCUGAUGAGAUAUUAUUCGAUAAAUCUUUCCUCGAGUCCAUCAAGCUAUUUGUAACCAAAGGAUCAGGCAUCAUUGGCAGUCCUAACUGAUUGUCCAUAUUUGAUCCAAAAGCAACAUUGUUCCUGAGGUCACCCUGAACUUCUCCGUCUUGACUGUCUCUGAAUAUGACUGGUUGAUUGUUGAAAGACAAUGGGUUUGUUGUCUGCUGCAACUGGACAUCAUUUUGAGAAAAGCAGACUGAGGUUGCUGAAGAUGAACUAUCUAGAUAAUCCAUGUGGGGCCCUGUAGUGUUGAGGUACGUUUGAGGAGCCAAAAAUCCAUGGUUAGGGCUCUUGGAGAUGUUCACUGAGGGCUUCACAUCAGAUUUGUGCUUCAAAUCUUUAUCUAGAUUGCUAUUAGUGGACAUAGCUUCGAAUCCACUGGAAUUUAAAAGGGGUACAGAAGACUGGGUUGCUUCAUCCCCUGCAGCUGUGCCUCGAUGCAUCCUACCAUUCAUAAUUGGCUGAACCGCAUUUUGACAAUUGUUCGUGGAUGGUGAGGUGGAACAUGAUGGGAUGUCAUCCGUAACCACCGACUGGCCUCCACCUGCAGCUCCUGUUAAUAAGCUACUGCAGUUUGUGGAAAGUUGAUUAGUAGCAGGUGGUAGAUUCUGACCAACUUGUCCAGGUAGUUCUGGUUGAAUUCCAGGUUGCUGGUGAACUUUUGAUUGCUGAUUUGGUUGGGAAAAACGAAAAUUAGACUGGCUAGUCAUUUGCUGCUGGACAACUUGCGACUGGGAGAGAGAAGUGGACGUGGACGUUGUUUGAGACAUAUCCAGCAUUUGGCUUGUUGCAAGCGACCUGGAAAAGUUCUGUGAUACAUCCAAGAGCCGCUUCUGCUGAUCCUGGAUAGGCCCAAGCUGGGAUUGCUGUUGCAAUACAGAUUGUUGAGCUAGAAGUGAUUGCUGCUGCUGAUGCAGCUUCUGCAAAAGCUGCAACUGUAAUUGGUUAUCAGAGAAAUGCAUCUGUUGGUUAAGUGGAUCGCUAGGCUGAGAUGGCAUGAAACUCUGCUGCUGAGUCUGAUUCAUAAUCUGUUGCUGCUGAGGAAGGGUCCUCUGCAGCUGGUUUUGAAGUGAUUGUUGUUGCUGAAGGACAUUCUGAGAUUGCACAAGACUCUGCGCUUGCAAAAGUUGGGCCUGAACUUGGUUUGUAGGCACAGAUUGGUUGAUUAGGUUCUGUCUUGGUUGCUGACUGAUAUCCGACAACUUUUGCUGCUGCGACUGCAUAAUGGAUCCUACUGGGCUCAAGAUUGGUUGAUUAGGUUCUGCCUUGGUUGCUGACUGAUAUCCGACAACUGUUGCUGCUGCGACUGCAUAAUGGAUCCUACUGGGCUCAAUGUAGCAGCUGCCACCUGACCUUGUUGGUUUGGCCGUUGGGUGCCAAACUGUAAGGUGUUGUGCUGAGG